rnacentral:lncRNA from 1 species
GAGGUUCCAAGUUCAAGUCUCAAUGGGAACAAAAAUUACCUUUCCAACGAAGGAAAAAAAAAAUGUCUUCCCAUGAAACAAUUCAAGCUUAGAACAUUAGAAAGAAGUAAAAUUCACACCAAUAAAAGCCCAUAACACUUAACUAUCUAUAAAAUUAGAAAUUUUCCUUUCGAAAACCCCAUAUUGUAGUUAUCCAAAUAAAUUAAAAUAGAACUUUAAAAGGACCUUAGCCAAAAAAAAUUGAAAAAGUUAUUCUCUAAGGUUGUCUUAUUUGGAGCUCAAUUGUUUUUUUAAUCAAAAACAGCAAAUUCAUUUUAAUGAAUUCAAAGGAAUGGUAAAGGACAAAUAGAAAGAGUACGAACUCCUCAAGUGGGAAAGAAGUCCUUUACAAAAGAUAUUACUUAAUUUCUUGCUUAGCUAACUAAUCUACAAUAUGAUUAGCCAAAUGCAAAGCAUAAGACAAAGAGCAUCCCAACCCACUAGCUACACCUAUAAUUUGGGAAAGCCGCUCAUCAUAUUCCCACAAUCAUUUUUCUUCUUAGACGACAACCCAUGAAAUAACAACUCUAAAAUCUCCCACAAUCCAAAGAUUUUAAAGACUAACCAAGCUUUCUUCGGUAGGUUUUAGGGGAAAUUUUUUCCAACACUAUACUACAAUAAUCUCUAAUCAUGCCUCCAAUUCCUAAUUGCUUGUAUUACACCCAUCAAAAGAUAGUGCUACAAAACCAUUCAGAGGCAAAUUCCACAUUUUAUAUAUAUCCUCAAGGACCUCAACAAUCCUCUCAAGACCUACCAACAAGGUUCCAUCAUAGAAGUAGAAACCUCAAAGUAGUGUUUGCAAAAGUUUUAGUGAGAGAAACAGAACAGGAUUGAGGAAGUCAAGGACCAAACCCUCACAUCUAGGAGGAAAUAGACAUGAAUUGAAAAAGGCAUAAAAAGCUCACCCUCCUUAAUUUCCAUAUCAAAAAUUUUAUCAAAGAUAUCAAGGACUUUUAUUUCAUUAUUUUAGUUGGUGAGUUGUAUAAGCUUCUAGUGGACAUGUUGGAAAAUAAGCUCAAAAGGUUAUUGACAAAGUUGUUUUUUAUUUCCAAAAUGCCUUUACCGAGGGUUAGCAAAUAUUGGAUGCAGUUUUGAUGGUUAAUGAGGCCAUUGAUUCUCAAAUCAAGAGCAUAAGAGUUGGUGAGGCUUGCAAAUUGGACAUUGAAAAGGUUUAUGAUCAUGCAAACUGAAAAUUCCUCCUUUUGAAUAGCAUGGGCUCUAAAAAAAAAUGGGUUGAGUGAAUUAGAUUUUACCUUUCAAUAGUCCAUUUUUUAGAAUUAGUGAAUGAGACUCUAUCUAGGUUUUUUCAGAUGCCUAAGGCAGAGAGAUAUGCUUUAUCCACCUUUAUUCAUUUUGGUGAUUGAGGCCUUGAGUUGAAUUACAAAUUAAGCUGUAAAUGGAGGUUUUAUUAAUAGCUUCAAGGUAAAAGAUUUUGUUCAUUAACAAGUCUCCUUCCCUCUCCCUCCUUUUUAGGCUAGCAAGGAGCAAUUAUGAUAUUUAUGAUGGAUGCUUCUUUAUUUUGAAGUAUUUUCAGGCUAAAAAAUUAAUUUGGAAAAGAAUUCAUUCCUAUGAAAAAAGGUGAUGCAGUUGGCCCCCCCAAUUAUACCUUUCAAAAGGUGGUAGGCUCACUUUAUUGAAAGGCGUCUUCUCUACCUUCCCAAUUUAUUCUAUGUCCCCUUCCAUGAUUCCAAGACAAAUGCAACUCAAAUUAGAGAGAACUCAGACAGAUUUUUAAGGCAAGCGAACCUCCUAAUAUUAAGAUGCAUCUGUCUGUUUCUGAUAAAUAAAAAAUAAAAAAUAAAAAUAAAAAUAAAUAAAAGAUGCAUCUGGUUAGAUGGGGUAAGGUGUGUUUAGAGACAAAUGAGGGAGGGCUAGCAAUAAAAGGUCUUUAGUACUGAAUAAGACCUUCUUAGGAAAUGGUUAUGGAGACUGUGAGCAGGAAUCUGCGCAAAAAAAGUCACUAUGGGAAAACCUCAGUAAGCUGGUAAGGGGCUGGUGCUCUAGAAUUGGUAGAGAAACUCAUUGUUGUAGGCCUUGGAAAGUGAUAAGUAACCAUUGGGCAGAUUUUCAAACAAAGCUAACAUUUCCAUUGGAAAUGACCAAUUGAAAAAAAUUUAGAUAGAUAAAUGGUGUGGGGGACAACGCUAGAAAAUCACUUUUUGACUCUAUUGGAUAUAGCAGUCAAUAAAGAAGUUUGGGUUGUAGAUUAUUGGGAUGCAAGAGAAAGGAGAAUGGCUUAUUGGAAUCCAAGGUUUAGGAGGAAAUUUUUAUAUUGGGAGUCUGAGAUAUUGGAGUUUUACACUUUUUGAACAGGUUGUCUCUUUGGAUCAACAUUAUAGACAAGUUAGUGUGGAAGACUGACAAACUAGUGUUUUUUCGAUCAUUCCUACAACAUCUUUGUGUCCUAAAAAUUUUUUUAUCCUUGCCUAGAGAUUUGGGCUUCCAUGGUGCAAUCCAAGGUUAACAUCUGUUGGACUUUAAUAUACAAGUGUUGCUUACGCAAGAAUCAAAAAGGGCUGACUACAUUCUCAUCCAUUGCAAAUGAUCAUCUGACCUCUACUCCUUGGUUUUUGUUCAUUUAGCAGUGUGAAUCCUUUCAAGUAAGGUCCAUGAUCUUCUCAUUGAGUGGCAUGAGAGCUUUGUGGGUCAAAGAAGGAAUUAGUAUGGAAGAUGAGCCCUUUUGGACUACUUGGAAAAAAGAAUAAAAGAAUCUUUAAAGGCAUUGAGCAUAUUUUGUUGGCAAUAAAAGACAUUUUUUUAAGUCUUUGCUUUCUUAGUUAAGAUGCUCAAGGAUGGGUAUCAACUACUUCGUACUCAACUUUCAUAUAGUUUGUGCUGGUAGUUGUACAAGGUAUUUUUAGUUCUUAUUUAGUGCAUCUUUACACCUCCUAUGUACAAGGGUUGCAUCCCCUUUUCUGUUAGAUGUCUUUUAAUGCAUAUCGUUUACUUUGCUUUACAAAAAUCAAAUGAAGUUCCGAGACAACAUGGAAAAUUAAGGAUCUAACAUGCAUGAAAUCCAUGGUGCAUAGGUCCAAGAGUGUUGGAUGUGGUAUGUGCCAAUGCGUCUAGUCCUUUACACCACAAAUUUUUGGAUAUUGGGGUACAAUUAAAACAAUCUUAAUAACAGGUAUAGGCACUUGGAUACAACAUAAUAAAAGGAAAAAAAAAAAUCAAUUCAAUAUCAACAAAAGGAUAUCUUUCAUAAGAUCUGUUUUUUUUUUCUCUAUUUUAUCCGUAUCUUUCGUUCUUAUCUUUAAAAUAUUUUUGUUUUAUUUUUUAAUUCCUUUUUUUUUUUUUUUUGUUAGAAACAAAAGCACGUUCAUUAGAAAUAUGAGAACACAAGAGAAGAAUGAAAAAUCCCUUCCUAAAUUACAAAACCCAAUAAAAAAAACAAUGGGAAAGAAGUACACUUCACUAGACAUCAAAACAAUUUAACAUUGUUUUUUAACCCUUUUUUGAUCCACAUAAUGUUGAGAUAAUGCACUUGAAAGCUAUAAUAGCAAAGGCUAAAAAAGAUGAAAUAGAAAUAAAUUAGAUCCCCAUAUCAUCUCGAAAGUCCACUUGUCCUAAAAGAUCCUUACAUUUCUUUCUUACCAUAUUAUCCAAAUCAAAGUAAGACAAACAAUGUGUCAUAGAAUUUUGCCUCUAAUAGUGCUCCCUAAACCCUUAAAGAAAUGGCCAAAAUGUCAUUGACACUUCUAAAAGGAACCCACUCCAAAUUGGCUAAGUCUAAAUAGCUUAGGCAAUACCUUCAAAGUCAUUGAAUAGUGAAAAAGGUGAUCCAUCGAUUCUCCAUUACCUAUACACAUAGUGCGACAAUCCAAACUAAGGGCUUUAAAACGUCUUCUCACCUAAAACAAGCCAUUGGUAUUAGCCCUCUUGUUGGCCACUAACCAAGCAAAUGCCUUGACCAUUGAUGGGAAUUUCAAUUUUCAUAUGAAUUUUGCUAGAGAGAAGAAAAGUGGAGUUGACUAAUUAGAUAAGGCUAAGAAAAAAUAGUUGACUGGAAAUAAAUUGGAGGGCAAUAAUGGCCAAACUCUCACAUCUAGGAAAGCGUUAAUAGCUUAACACAAUUGAGAAUAGACAUGAGGAUUUCAAGAUCCUAUAUCUCCAAACAAGUGAGGUUUUUUGAAAGUUAAAGUUCCAACUUAAAAGGGAAGAGAGUCUAAGGAUCAUUGUCAUACCCACACCCAUGUCGUGUCGUGUCGUGUCAUGUCGACAUAGGUAGGAGCCUUUGAAUUGUUGACUUGAAACAAUUAGGAAUUUAGUACAAUGGAAUUGAUUCCCCCACAAGUAUCUUUCUAAAAACAAACUUUGUAUCACUAACCACAAAAACAUGAAUAAAACAGGAAAUGCAAAGUAAGUACACAUAUGCAAUAGAUUUCCAAAGGCAUAAGUGCAACCACUAAACAACAAUGUUGGCAUCCCAUCAUUUGGAGCUUGACUAUCUUUCUUUCACAUUGGAAAACCAAACUUCAAUUUCAAUUAUAUUUAUCCCCUAAAUUAGAGAACUCAUCCUCAAGUUUUUGCCAUAUUCAACAUUAACCAUUUUAAAAAAGAGAACACAUAAAUAAGUAACAUGUUUGCUUUUGAUACCAAAACUAAUGCAACCUCGGUGAAAUGGCUAUAAAUUAGAGACAAAGAUGUUAAGAACAAAGGUUGAAACUCUGCAAACACAGUUUUAAAACAGAUUCUGCCAUUUCGAGGAAAAAUGGCUCAAAACCCAUGACUAUGGGGCUAAACUACAAUGCCCUAAAGAUAAAGAGACAAGGAAAUACUAAUAUCAAGCUUUUAUUCUUCCAAAGUCUAAGAUUGUAGAAACCAUCAUAGGAUGCAUUUAAAUAGACUUAAAGCUCACCAAAGGGAGCCCAUCUUCCCAUGACUAUCAAGUUGAGAGCUAGUGGUUUCCUCAUGAUAAAAAAAAAAAAAUGCAUGUCUACAUACACCAGGCAUAUCCAUCCCAAGUUACUUGGGUUAGAAGUUAUUUCAGCCCAAGUUAACGAUACCGUAUUUUUCCUGGACCUCAAUUAUUGCAUGAAUGAUUUAGGGCUGGCCCAUUAUAAAUAAAUAAAACUCAAACCUUGAAACAUCAACCCAACUGUAGAAAACAAAUUCCAAAAUGCCCCUUAAAUACUAAAAUCCAAAUUAAUUAGGGUGGAAACUAUAAAAGUGGAACUUUAAGAGGAACCUAAGUUGAAGUCAAACAGGUCACAUCCUCAAGUUUUCUUUCUUUAAAGCUUGAUCAUCUGCCUUUCAGAUCCAAAAGCUGCACCUCAGUUGUGGUUGCAUCAAUCAGAAUGAAAUACCCCUUGUUAGUUGGGUUUCCUCUUCAUUGAUAUAGAAAUUUUCAAUGGAAAUGUUGUCUAAGAAGUAACAUAACAUUUUGUUUAACUCAUAUUGGAUCCUUUUCUUCUUUUUGCAAGUGAGAAAUUAAAAAACAAAAUUCAAAAAAGUGAAAAAUGCAAAUAAUGAAUUAAUAAAUUUUUUUUCCCAUCACAUACAAAAAUAGGGUAGCAUUUGUGCAAAAUAAAAAAGAUUUGAAAAAGAAUACUGUCAGCCAAAAGAAGAACUAGUUUUUCUUUUGCCCUCAUCAACAUUAUAGCAAUUCCAGAUCUCAAUCAGCCACAGCAAAACAUUCAAGCUAUAUUUUAAGGAAUAAACACAAAGCCACAUGAAACUAUGAAUGUUAAGCUUGAAAUUGUACGUCUAGGCAUAAACACAGAAGCACAUGAAACUAUAAACCAUGGAACUCCAAAAUAAACUAUAUAACAGAUAAAACUAACAGAAAUUGAACUUGACAUCAAUGAAUCUUAAACUGCCAGGAAAAACUAGAAGAUAUUGCUUAAGUAAUACCUCAAGUAAUUGAAACAUGGAUUUCAUGUCAACAAGACUUUGUAUAGUUUCACGAUACACACUGCCGAGAAAGUUGAGUGGAAGAGAUAGCUGAAAUAGAAGCCCAUUCACCAUAACCUGUACAUACCAAAAUAAACCCAUAAUAUGAGAGAUCAUUCUUAAUCAUUUUUCCAAAUGCGUAGAAGUUCUACUAGUGUUUAUGAAGAAGAAUUUUUCACCAAAUCACCAACUGUCAUCUCGCCAUUCAUAAUCCCAUGUGAACAUAACACCAUAGCUGUUGAUAGGGCGGUGCUAAAUAUUAAGUUUUGGCCAAAGUUCAAAAAAGCAAGACUGCGUUGCGUUUUUAAGGCAGCAUCUUCAUACCCUGAAAGAUAGCAUCAUUAGUAGUAGCAUAAAACAAAUAUUUAAACAAAGUCAGUCAUUUCUAUCCCUAGAACCUAUAAGAUAUGGCAAUUUCAUGAUAUUAGAUAGUUUAAUCCUAAGUGUCACCCGUGUGGAAGCAAUACUUGUUUUAAGGCCAUCAUCAAGCAGAAAAUUCAAGUGAAGAUUGAUCAUUGCCUUGCUCGAUUGAGCAAUCCCUCUUGUGCAAGCUCCUAGAGUUUGUUUUGUAUGAAUGUUGAUCAUUUACAUGUUAGGAGCAUUCAUUUUGUAUUCAUUUUUUUUAUAAGAAACUAUUCUCGUGUUAAAAAGUAAAGGUUUGCACAAAAGGAAGAAGGAUAAGAAAUCAUUCAGGAAAGGAAAGAAAAUAUGGUAUAUAACCAUUAAAGCAAAAAAAAUCCCACAAUAGAUAGCAUUGGUUUCCAACCCCAAAGAAAAUCGAAUACCAAAACUCAAGGGAGAGGAAGACAAUAAGGAACUAUGCUAGAAGUACUGUUUGAAAACUUAUGAAAGAAGAAGAAAGAAUAUUUGUCAAGCUUCAAUGAUUCUAGGAUUGUUGGAAUGAGCUAAACAUGUGGAAAAAUUGAGAAGGGAAAUGUCCUUCAUUUUGAAUAGAAUACAUAUCCGGUUAAGAUAAGCCAUAGGAGUGUUGUAUAAAACCGAAACUACCCUAAACAAAAUCCUUAUAAAUUAGUAAACUAAAUAACUAUAAAUCAGGGAUUAAAUCCCUAUAAAUCAUAGAUUACAUUAUCUACCUGAUUUAAACCUAUUUACAUAAAAUAUAAAGUCAAGACUCAUAAAGAAACAUGUUUCUCUACACGCCCUCUCAAGCUAGUGAGUGAAUAUCAUGCAUUGCCAGCUUGCCAAUUAUUGCUUGAAACACGAUAUUGUUUAGACCCUUGAUCAGCACAUCGGCAAGUUGACUGCAUGAGGAAACGUAUGGAGUGCACAUGAAGCCACUUUCCAAUUUUUCUUCAAUAAAGUGCAUGUCUAACUCCACAUGUUUGAUCCAAUCAUGUUGCACAAGAUUAUGUGCAAUAUCGAUCGCUGAUUUGCAAUAGAGUCAGUGCUUCCUAGUUAAUCUUAAUAUUUUCAAGAAUUAUUUUCAGCCAUAGUAAUUCACAAAUCCCAAAAGCCAUUGCUUUAAGUUCCGCCUCAGCGGCUGACCUUGUUAUUACAUUCUACGUUUUACUCCUUCAUGUUACAAGGUUUUCACUAAGGAAUGUAAAAUAACCUAAUAGUCAGUGUCUAUCAACCACAGACCUUGCAUAAUCAGCAUCUAUGUAGACUUCAAGAGUCAAACUUAUUCCUUUCUUGAAUAGAAUCCGUUUCCCCGAUGUUACUUUAAGAUAGUAUAGUAUAGUAUAUGGUGAACUACUUGUAUAGUGCGGGGAAGACGAUUGGCAUAGGACGUGAGUCUCAAGGCCUCUAUCACCUCACCUCGGAUUCAUCUCCUGCAGUUUGCAUUUCCACUGAUGCUCCUCUCCUCAUUCACAGUCGUUUAGACCACCCUAGUCUCUCAAAGUUCCAGAAGAUGGUCCCUCGUUUUUCCACUUUGUUGUCGCUUUCGUGUGAGUCAUGUCAGCUUGGGAAACAUACUCGUGUCUCGUUCCCAAAGCAUUUGAAUAAUCGGGCAAAGUCUCCUUUUGAGCUUGUCCACACUGAUGUUUGGGGUCCUUGUCGGAUUGCGUCUACUUUAGGAUUUCAAUAUUUUGUCACUUUCAUUGAUGACUAUUCUCGAUGUACUUGGUUAUUUUUAAUGAAAAAUCGAGCUAAGUUAUUCUCUAUUUUCCAAAAAUUUUAUGCUGAAAUCCAGACCCAGUUCAAUAUUUCUAUUCGUGUGUUACGCAGUGAUAAUGCCAGGGAAUAUUUUUUAGCCCCAUUUACUUCAUUUAUGUCUCAUCAUGGGAUUCUUCAUUAGUCUUAUUGUGUUCAUACUCCUCAACAAAAUGGGGUAGCUGAACGCAAGAAUUGACAUCUUGUUGAGACAGCUCGUACUAUCCUCCUCCAUAGUAAUGUUCCUUUUCGUUUGUGGGGGGACGCUGUUCUUACCGCUUGUUAUUUGAUUAAUCGUAUGCCCUCCUCUGUUUUACAUGAUUAGAUUCCUCAUUUCCUUCUCUUCCCUGACCAACCACUUUAUUUCCUUCCUCCUCGUGUCUUUGGUUGUACUUGCUUUGUUCAUAUUCUCACUCCUGGACAAGACAAGCUUUCCGCCAAAGCCAUGAAGUGCCUCUUCUUGGGAUAUUCCAAACUUCAGAAGAGUUAUCGUUGUUAUUCCCUUGAGACUCAUCGAUACUUUAUCUCCGCUGAUGUCACUUUCUUUGAGGACUCACCAUUCUUUUCCACCACUUCUGAGUCUCUUCUUGUUUCUGAAGUCUUACCCCUUCCCAUUGUCUCCCCAUCUGAUGUUGUGCCUCCUCGACCACUUCAAGUUUAUCAUCGUCGCCCUCGUGUCGCUGCUCCUCUCCCUUUUGCUGAGGCACCUGCUGACUCACUUCCUAUCCCUUCGGCUUCUCCUGCCCUGGCUCUGCCUUCUCCUGAUGAUUUACCCAUUGCUAUUCGAAAAGGUACUCGCUCUACUCGUAAUCCUCAUCCUAUUUACAAUUUUUUGAGUUAUCAUCGAUUAUCUUCACCCUAUUCUGCUUUUAUUUCUGCUAUAUCCUCUGUUUCUCUUCCAAAGAGCACCUAUGAAGUUCUUUCCCAUCCAGGCUGGCGGCAGACAAUGGUGGAUGAAAUGGCUGCUCUGCACUCUAAUGGCACUUGGGAUCUUGUUGUUUUACCCUCUAGUAAAUCUACAGUUGGCUGUCAUUGGGUCUAUGCAGUUAAGGUUGGUCCUGAUGGUCAGGUUGAUCGCCUUAAGGCCCGCUUAGUUGCUAAAGGCUAUACUCAGGUUUAUGGUUCUGAUUAUGGUGACACAUUCUCCCCUGUUGCCAAGAUUGCUUCUGUCCGCUUGCUUCUCUCCAUGGCUGCUAUGUGUUCUUGGCCUCUUUAUCAGUUGGAUAUUAAAAAUGUCUUCCUUCAUGGUGAUCUUGCCGAGGAAGUUUAUAUGGAGCAACCUCCUGGUUUUGUUACUCAGGGGGAGUUUGGUUUAGUGUACAGGUUACGCCGUUCUUUAUAUGGCUUGAAACAAUCUCCUCGAGCAUGGUUUGACCGUUUUAGUUCUGUUGUUCAAGAGGUUGGCAUGCUUCGCAGUACAACAGACCAUUCAGUUUUCUAUCAUCAUAACUCCUUGGGGCAAUGUAUUUAUUUGGUUGUUUAUGUAGACGACAUCGUCAUUAUAGGCAGUGAUCAGGAUGGUAUUUAGAAACUAAAGCAACAUCUUUUUACCCACUUUCAGACCAAAGACUUGGGGAAACUCAAGUAUUUCUUGGGAAUUGAGAUAGCUCAAUCCAGUUCCGGUGUGGUCCUUUUCCAAAGGAAGUAUGCUUUAGACAUCCUGGAAGAAACUGGUAUGUUAGACUGUAAACUGAUAGACAUACCUAUGGAUCCGAAUGUCAAACUUGUACCAAGACAGGGGGAGCCUUUAGGAGACCCUGGGAGAUAUCGACGGCUCGUAGGUAAAUUAAACUAUCUCACCAUUACUCGUCCAGACAUUUCUUUUCCUAUGAGUGUUGUUAGUCAAUUCCUACAGUCACCAUGUGAUAGCCAUUGGGAUGUCGUAAUCCGCAUUCUUCGAUAUAUCAAAAGUACACCAGGGCAAGGUGUGUUGUACGAGAACAGAGAUCAUACUCAAGUUGUUGGUUACACAAAUGCAGAUUGGGCUGGCUCACCCACAGAUAAACUUUCCACUUCAGGGUACUGUGUUUUUAUUGGAGGUAAUCUAAUAUCUUGGAAGAGUAAGAAACAAGAUGUAGUGGCCAGAUCUAGUGCUGAAGCUGAGUAUCGAGCUAUGGUUUUGGCAACAUGUGAACUCAUAUGGUUGAGACAUCUUCUUCGAGAGUUGAGAUUUGGAAAGGAUGAACAGAUGAAACUCAUCUGUGAUAACCAGGCCGCAUUACAUAUUGCAUCCAAUCCAGUCUUUCAUGAAAGGACCAAACAUAUUGAAGUUAACUGUCACUUCAUUAAAGAGAAGAUCGCAUCAAGAUGUGUUGCUACAAGUUUUGUUAAUUCAAAUGAUCAACUAGCAGACAUCUUCACUAAAUCUCUCAGAGAUCCUAGGAUUAAAUAUAUCCGUAACAAGUUUGGUGCAUAUGACGUAUAUGCUCCAGCUUGAGGGGGAGUGUUGAAUAUAAUGAAUUUAUAGUGUACAAUCUUUCCUUUUUUUAAUAUAGGUCACAUGUAUGGUAGUUAGGACUCCUAGCCUUGUAUAUAUAUAUUUUUUCAAUUGUAAGUAGACACUACAUGAAUGAGAAUCAAGGUUUUCUUCUCUCUCUCUUUUAACAAAAGGUAUACACGAUGUAUAUUAAGGAUGAAAAAAGGCUAAAAAACAAGGCGAGAGAUAUAUAAAAACAACAACCAUGCCUUACUUAGAGCUUAACUACUCCACAAAAUUCAUCAUGGACAAAAAGUAACCACCUAAAGACACUCUAACCCAUUCCAACAAAAUAUACAUAAACGAUUGUUUAAUUGGUUGAUCAACUUUUUCAAAAUUAUUAAAAGCUCUUCUAUUUUUCUCCAUACAGAAUAAGCACAAAGGAGCAACUUUUUAAACCUAUUUUCUUUUCUUUCCAACAAAGAACCCAUGCCAACUCAAAAAGACACAUAUCAUUGAAGAAUGCAUCACCCACUAAACUCCAAGCAUGGCAUAAAUCAAAUACCAUAGAAUGACUUAUUUCAAACAAUGAAAGAGGAUGUGUUCAAUUGUUUCUUCUUCUCUUUGCACAUGUGGCAUUUGUUUAGAAUCCUCCAAUCCUUCCUUUUGAGUGGAUCCAAAGUUAGUACCUUGCCCCACAUAGCUUCUCAUGCAAGGAAACUAACCCUUGAUGGUACCCAAGAAUUCCAAACUAUAUUAAAGGAAAUGUCUGCACCCUCCCAUAUGAUUAAAAGGAAUAGAAAGACUCGAUUGAGAAAUUGUCACUCUUCUUCAAUCAAACCAAAUUAUCUUCAAUGUCCCCACUAAUGUCCACUCUUGCAACCUCUCAAAGAAGACUUCCACCUCCAACUCUCAACGGUUAAUUUGUCUUGUAAACGUAGGGUUCAAACUAUCCCCCUCACGGGAGUGUCCCUAUACCACCUAUCCUUCCAAAAAUUCACCUUACUCCCACUUCCCACCCUCAAGUCGAUUUUACUCUUGAAGGCCUCCCACUCACUCUCAAUCGUCUUCCAAACUUCCACUCCCUCACUCCUCUAAAGCAGCAACCCCCCUCUUGCUCCCCAUAUUUCACUAGAAUCACAUGUUUCCAAAGACAAUUCUUUUUAAUCACGAAUCUCAAUGCCCUUUUUUGAGAAGAGCCUCAUUAGAGUAGACAAGUUUCUAAUACCCAAACCCCCACUCCUCUAAUCCACACAAACUAUAUUCCAAUUCACCAAAUGUAGCUUUCUCUUCAAGGCUCCUCCCUCCCAAAGAAAAUCUCUUUAGACCUUUUCCAAUCUACCACUUACCUUUUUUCAUAAUGAAAAAAAAAAAAACCAGGUAUGAAGAAAAUGGCAAGUUGCAUAAGUGCUUUUUAUCAUAUUUUAACUUUCCUCCUUUUGGAAGGUACUAUCUUUUCCAUGUAGCAAGUCUUAUCUAAAAUCUUUCUUCCACCCCAUCCCAAACCUAAGAAGACCUAAAAGGGGCUCCAAAUGGGUGGCCCAAAUAAGUGGUGGGCAGAUUGAUAGCUCCUCCAUAGUUGUGACUCCCUAGUUAAGAUGAGCUUUUUUUUUUUUAGAUUGAUCUUUAACCUUGAUAUUGCCUCAAACCACAUGAACGCCCAAUUGAAAUGCUCUAUGUGCUCCUUCCAAGCAUCAUAAAGACCAAGUGUCAUCAACAAAUAACAGGUGGGAGAUUUCUGUCACCACACCUCCUCUUCCCCUAACUGAGAACCAUUUGAUAAGACCUCAUUUCUUUGCCUUGAUAAGGAUGUAGAAAAGAGCCUCCAUGGCCAUGAUGAAAAGGUAAGAGGACCAACAAUCACCUUGUCUUAAACCUUUAAAACUCCAAGAAAAAACAGAGGGAGUCCCAUUCAUCAAAUUAGAGAAGUGCAUCAUAGAGAUGCCAUUUGAUCCAACUAAAACACUUGGAACCAAAACCCAUUUUUUUUCAAAAAAUGCUAAUACAAAACCUCAAUUGGCAUCAUAUGCCUUCUCAAUGUCCAGCUUACAAAUAACCCCAAUUGGCUAGCCAUAUAGCUGCAAUGGAUGUAUGUUCGUCUAGUAUGAUGCUUCUAGCCUAGAGGUUUUUAACAAAGAACUCAUGCCUACUAUAAAGAGUAUCUCUGAUUUUUGUAUAGGGUUUUUUAUGGUUUUUGUCAAGCUAAUCAUCCUCUUUGUUUUGGAUUUUUAGCCUUGUUAGAUCUACAAAUCCUUGAUUUGAUAUCUUCUUGUGAUUUGAGGUCAUCUUACCAAGCUUAAUUUUUUAUUAAAAUCAAUAGGAUUAAUUCAUAAUCAUCCUGUUAGGAUUGAUCAAAACUAGUCCAUUAUGAAUCAUCCUCCAUAUACUUUUGAUUAACAACAUUGUAAAAUUGUGUUUUAAGAAGAUAAAUUUACCUUUGAAUGGAGGUUUAUAUGAUGACAUCAACAAAGUAUUGCUAUGCACAUAUGCAUGUGUUGGGUGAGCGUACAUCUCUAGGUGUCGGAUCCUUUGCAUCCCAAAGUCUUAGGACACAAGGAUUCGGCUAAAAAUAAUUUCAACUAUGGGUGUGAGUACUUGGAUACCACAUUAAUAAAAAAUAAUUAACUCCAAAUAUAAACACACUUUAAUAAGUUGUCUAUAAUAGUACAUAGUUAAUUGCAGUAAGAAAAUUUAUUUAUAAUAUCUUUUCAAUGAUGCUAAGCGUGAUUUCACUUUGAUGUUACUGCUAGUUGUACAUAAAGAACCUAUUUAUUAUAGGUCUAAAUAGGUCUUUUAUUUUAAAAGAUUGUUGAAAAAUAUCUUUAAGAAUAUUAGACCUAAAAUAUUUUAAAACUUUAAAAAAGUGUAUUAACUUUGUAAAUAUUGAUAAAAUAUAAUUGAUGUUAAUUUCUUCUCAUGUGUUUUAUAUUAAUUUCUCCAAUUCAUCUCUAAAUUUUUUAAGAUAUUAAUUUUGAUAUUUAUCUUUAUAUUUUUCAUGCUAUUAAUUAUUAUAAUUAUAUUCAAAUUUUAUAUGACAUUAAUUAUCAUAUUUAUAUUUGAAUUUUAUCUAUUAUAAUUUUAAAAAAUUAAAAAAGUGAUAAAACACUUCUUCAACUAUAAAAAUUAAAAAUUAGUUACAAAUUUAUUUAUUUUUUAUGACAAUUUAUUUUAUACUAUUAUUUGGUAUAAUUUUAAAAAAUUAAGAAAGAAAUAAAAGAGAGAUAGUUGUAUAAGAUGCAAUAUAAGCACAAUUUAUAAAAAAAUAAAGAAGAGAUAAAGCAGUCAUAGGCUAAAUGGUUGUGCCCAAUGCAAUAGAAACAUAUCUGAUGCAGAUAUUACACUUGCACUCAUGUUGUAUCAUGUUGAUAUAGUUAGUUUGAUGAAAUUAACAUGUUCAUAUAUCAUAGUCUAUGUACAUACAUACAUACAUAUAUAUGAUCACUGGCAUAGCACAAAAUCCAAUAGUAGCCCAUUCCAACUUGUAGGUUCAAUUCAGGUUUAAUAUCAAAACACUAGACAAAGGACAACUAUUUUUUUUAUUUUUUAUUUAUUGGAAACGACACAAAGAUUUAUUAUAGUUGUCCUUUGUUUUUUUUAGACAAAGGACAACUAUAAAAACCCAAACAACUUACUCUUUAGGAGUUCAUCAUACUUCUCAACUUCAAAAGCUUCACUGUUGAAAUAUUUCACAGUCUGAAAUUAGAACAUUUAAGUGAGUGGAAGUUAUAUAAAGAAUAUUAGCUAGGAAAAGGAAAGGCAUCGACAUUAACUAGAAAGAAAGCCUUUAUAAGAGAUAUAUUGAAACCUCAUAAUUGAUAAGUGAAUCAAUUGCCCUUGUACUUGCAUCAUUAUCGGCUUUAUUCAUGAUCUUCCUAAAUUUAGUUCUCCACUGGAAAAGAUAAAGUUAAUGUGAGAAGUGAAAAACCUAAAAUUCUCACCAUUUUAAAGUGAGGAAAAGUACAAAACCCAACAACAAGAAGAGAAGAAAAAUAGCUAGAAACUUUCAGCCAGCAUGAUUUCCAGUAAGAAAAGAGAAUGACUCAAUAAAUUACUAAACAGAUCAUUGCAGCAGCAUCUGUGACAUGAAUAAUAAAUGAUAAAGGAAACAAUGCAUAUCAUUUCUAUUGAGAGAGAGAGAAAGAAGAAAAACCUUAAUUCUCAUUGAUAUGUUAACUUACAAUUGAGCAAUAUAUAUAUACAAGGCUAGGAGUCCUAACUACCAUACAUGUGACCUAUAUUAACAAGGAAAGCUUAUAUACUAUAAAUACAUUAUAUUCAACACUCCCCCUCAAGCUGGAGCAUAUACGUCAUAUGCACCAAGCUUGUUACAAAUAUAUUUAAUCCUAGGACCUCUGAGAGAUUUAGUGAAGAUGUCUGCUAGUUGAUCAUUUGAAUUAACAAAACUUGUAGCAACACAUCCUGAUUCGAUCUUCUCUUUAAUGAAAUGACAGUCAACUUCAAUGUGCUUGGUCCUUUCAUGAAAGACUGGAUUGGAUGCAAUAUGUAAUGCGGCCUGGUUAUCACAGAUGAGUUUCAUCUGUUCAUCCUUUCCAAAUCUCAACUCUCGAAGAAGAUGUCUCAACCAUAUGAGUUCACAUGUUGCCAAAGCCAUAGCUCGAUACUCGGCUUCAGCGCUAGAUCUGGCCACUACAUCUUGUUUCUUACUCUUCCAAGAUAUUAGAUUACCUCCAAUAAAAACACAGUACCCUGAAGUGGAACGUCUAUCUGUGGGUGAGCCAGCCCAAUCUGCAUCUGUGUAACCAACAACCUGAGUAUGACCUCUGUUCUCGUACAACACACCUUGGCUUGGUGUACUUUUGAUAUAUCGAAGAAUGCGGAUUACGGCAUCCCAAUGGCUAUCACAUGAUGACGGUAGGAAUUGACUAACAACACUCACAGGAAAAGAAAUGUCUGGACGAGUAAUGGUGAGAUAGUUCAAUUUACCUACGAGCCGUCGAUAUCUCCCGGGGUCUCCUAAAGGCUCCCCCUGUCCUGGUACAAGUUUGACAUUCGGAUCCAUAGGUGUGUCUACCGGUUUAUAGUCUAACAUACCGGUUUCUUCCAGGAUGUCUAAAGCAUACUUCCUUUGGGAAAGGAGCACACCAGAACUGGAUUGAGCUAUCUCAAUUCCCAAGAAAUACUUGAGUUUCCCCAAGUCUUUGGUCUGAAAGUGGGUAAAAAGAUGUUGCUUUAGUUUCUGAAUACCAUCCUGAUCACUACCUAUAAUGACGAUGUCGUCCACAUAAACAACCAGAUAAAUACACUGCCCCAAGGAGUUAUGAUGAUAGAAAACUGAAUGGUCUGAUGUACUGCGAAGCAUGCCAAACUCUUGAACAACAGAACUAAAACGGCCAAACCAUGCUCGAGGAGAUUGUUUCAAGCCAUAUAGAGAACGGCGUAACCUGCACACUAAACCAGACUCCCCCUAAGCAACAAAACCAGGAGGUUGCUCCAUAUAAACUUCCUCGGCAAGAUCACCAUGAAGGAAGGCAUUUUUAAUAUCCAACUGAUAAAGAGGCCAAGAACACAUAGCAGCCAUGGAGAGAAGCAGACGGACAAAAGCAAUCUUGGCAACAGGGGAGAAUGUGUCACCAUAAUCAGAACCAUAAACCUGAGUAUAGCCUUUAGCAACUAAGCGGGCCUUAAGGCGAUCAACCUGACCAUCAGGACCAACCUUAACUGCGUAGACCCAACGACAGUCAACGGUAGAUUUACCAGAGGGUAAAACAACAAGAUCCCAAGUGUCAUUAGAGUGCAGAGCAGCCAUUUCAUCCACCAUUGCCUGUCGCCAGCCUAGAUGGGAAAGAGCUUCAUGGGUGCUCUUUGGAAGAGAAACAGAGGAUAUAGCAGAAACAAAAGCAAAUUAGGGUGAAGAUAAUCGAUGAUAACUCAAAAAAUUGUAAAUAGGAUGAGGAUUACGAGUAGAGCGAGUACCUUUCCGAACAGCAAUGGGUAAGUCAUUAGGAGAAGGCAGAGUCGGGGCAGGUGAAGCCGAAGGGAUAGGAAGUGAGUCAGCAGGUGCCUCAGCAAAAGGGAGAGGAGCAACGACACGAGGACGACGAUGAUAAACCUGAAGUGGUCGAGGAGGCAUAGCAUCAGGUGGGGAGACAAUGGGAAUGGGCAAGACUUCAGAAACAGGAAGAGACUCAGAAGUGGUGGAAAAGAAUGGUGAGUCCUCAAAGAAGGUGACAUCAGCGGAGAUAAAGUAUCGAUGAGUCUCAAGGGAAUAACAACGAUAACCCUUUUGAAGUCUAGAAUAUCCCAAGAAGAGGCACUUCAUGGCUUUGGCGGAAAGCUUGUCCUGUCCAGGAGUGAGAAUAUGAACAAAGCAAGUACAACCAAAGACACGAGGAGGAAGGAAAUAAAGUGGUUGGUCAGGGAAGAGAAGGGAGUGAGGAAUCUGAUCGUGUAAGACAGAGGAGGGCAUACGAUUAAUCAAAUAACAAGCGGUAAGAACAGCGUCCCCCCAAAAACGAAAAGGAACAUUACUAUGGAGGAGGAUAGUACGAGCUGUCUCAACAAGAUGUCGAUUCUUGCGUUCAACUACCCCAUUUUGUUAAGGAGUAUGAGCACAAGAAGACUGAUGAAGAAUCCCAUGAUGAGACAUAAACGAAGUAAAUGGGGCAGAAAAAUAUUCUCUGGCAUUGUCACUGCGUAACACACGAAUAGAAACAUUGAAUUGGGUUUGGAUUUCAGCAUAAAAUUUCUAGAAAAUAGAGAAUAACUCAGCUCGAUUUUUCAUUAAAAAUAACCAAGUACAUCGAGAAUAGUCAUCAAUGAAAGUGACAAAAUACUGAAAUCCUAAAGUAGACACAGUCCGACAAGGACCCCAAACAUCAGUGUGGACAAGCUCAAAAGGAGACUUUGCCCGAUUAUUCAAACGCUUUGGGAACGAGACACGAGUAUGUUUCCCAAGCUGACAUGACUCACACGGAAGCGACGACAAAGUGGAAAAACGAGGGACCAUCUUCUGGAACUUGGAGAGACUAUGGUGGCCCAGACGAUUGUGAAUGAGGAGAGGAGCAUCAGUGGAAAUGCAAACUGCAGGAGAUGAAUCCGAGGUGAGGUGAUAGAGGCCUUGAGACUCACGUCCUAUGCCAAUCGUCUUCCCCGUACUCCGGUCCUGCAAGGUCACAAAUUUAUCAGAAAAGGUAAUAGAGCAAUUAAGAGUACGAGUGAUUUUGCUGAUGGAAAUAAGAUUAAAAGGACAUUCAGGAGUAUAAAGGACAGAAGUGAGAGGUAGAGAAGGCAGAGGAAGGGUCAAACCAAUACCUUUAGCCACAGUUUGAGAACCAUUAGCUAAGGUAACAUUAGGUAAAGCAGAGGUAGUAGUAAUAGAGGAGAAAAGAUCCUUAUUACCAGAUAGGUGAUCAGAAGCUCCAGAAUCUAGAAUCCAGGGUCCAAGAGAAGAUGUGUGGGUAAGGCAGGCAGAGACAUUACCAGGCUGGGCAACAGAGGCAACAGAAGCCUGAGAUGCGGAAGAGCUCGGAGGCUGAGGCAGCGGAGAAUCAGAGGACUGGGCCACAUGGGCAGUGCGAGGAGGUCGUCCAUGUAACUGAUAGCAACGAUCGCGAGUGUGGCCAAGUUUAUUGCAAUAGGUGCAAUGAGGAUGUUGACCUCUACCUCGGGUACCACUGCGGCCUCCUCGAGAGCUAGUUUGAGAAACUAACACAGAGGAAUCUGAAGUGCUAUCAAAUGGCAAAGUCUGAGUGGAGGAGAUACGGAGGAGGCGAGCAAACACAUCAUCCAAGGACGGAACUGAUGAACUACCAAGAAUCUGAUCGCGGACAGGCUCAAGAUCCGGACGAAGGCCAAUAAGAGUAAGAACCAUGAAGAACUUGUCAAGCUGUGUUUGUUGAGCCCCAACAUCAGGAGUAAGAGGCAUCACAGUCAAGAACUCCUCCUUAAGAGAGGCAAUCUGACCAAUAUAAGUAGAUAGAUCCAAGUCUUGUUGGCUGAUAUGGACAAUAGCAGAAGCCACCUUAUAAAGACGCUGGAUAUCAUUCGUGUAUAAUCCUUUGGCCUGAGUCCAAAAUUAAAACAAGUUUUGUAGGCCCGAAGAUGAAGAAGAAUCUUGGGAUCAACCGAUUGCCAUAAUACACUACAUAACUGUGCAUCUAUCUUCCUCCACUGUACGCGGUCAACCUCAGGGAUAUCUGCCUCUUGGGUAACCAAGUGAUCCUCAUAUCCUUGACCCAUAAACCAAAGUUCAACAGAGGCAGACCAGGAAAGAUAAUUUUCACUGCCAACUAAUUUCUCCGAAGUAAUCAUAGGAGAUCCAGACAUGACAGAGGAAAAAAUGGAAGCUUUAGUAGCCAUAUCCACUUAUCUGGAGAAUGAAGUAUGUUUGGAUCGAAGAGAGCCCUAAUACGGCUUCAGAUUGUGGCGUGGCACCACCGAAAAAAGGAGACGGCCUCAGAUCACGGCGUGGUACCACCAGAAAGGUAGAAGAACACUUCCCAAGGCACGUGCAGGGAUUGGAGUGGAGAAAAAGUAGUCGGAGCUUCGCCGGAAAGACUGUUUGGAGGGUCGACGGAGACAAAAAUCCCCAAAAGAGGUACGUGCAGGGCUCGGAUGGGAAAACCAGGGAGGUAGGGAGGCUGGUCGACAUCAGGCGAAGCUGGAGGAGGAGGCGCGUCGCCAGAAAAUGCCUCACGCGCCCUCACGGGCCGGCGCGUGAGAUGCAGCCGCCGGCCGGAAAAUGGCGCGUGGCCGGCGCGUGGAUGCUCUUUUGGUGCUGGUGCCUUCACAAAAGUUGGAGAUCUCCUCCAGGCGCUCCUUCUGGUAUGGUCGGUGUCGGAAAAAUAGGUUGCCGGAAAAGUUCGCCGGAAAAUUUCGCCGGCGGUGAGUGGUUUCUAACGACGUUCUGACUGACCGGAAAGUAUUGGGAGAUGGGGAAGGUGACCGGAAUGAAACACGGUCACCGGAAGGUUUCCCGGAGUUGAUGACACGGGAAACAGGAAAGAAUUAGGUUUUCUUCCUUGGCUCUGAUACCAUGUUGAGAGAGAGAGAAAGAAGAAAAACCUUAAUUCUCAUUGAUAUGUUAACUUACAAUUGAGCAAUAUAUAUAUACAAGGCUAGGAGUCCUAACUACCAUACAUGUGACCUAUAUUAACAAGGAAAGCUUAUAUACUAUAAAUACAUUAUAUUCAACAAUUUCAUUCACAAGAACUGCUAGUGAUGUUGAAAAGAAAUUGACAAGAGCUAUCAUACCUGUGUUACAGCUAAUGUGAAAGCAACAUAUGCAGCAACUGAUAGCGAAGUUAUCCAUGCAAAAGAUGCUCCGAAUUUGUAUGCUAGAAUACCUGCUACCAUCGAAAUCUGGAAGGAUAUGUGUUAAAUAUGUUGAAACUAUUCAGAGACAAAGAAUCAAAAGCAAGGAUAGAAAUGUCAUCAUACCAAAGAUGCCAAAUGAAAUAACAAUACAGAAUAUCAAAUAGCAAUAUAGCAUCAUGUAGGAGUAAAGAAUCUAGGAAUGAUAUUCUUGAUGUUAAGAAUCUCAUAUUAAACAAGCAAAUACAGUCGUACCUCUAAGAUGGUAGGUACAAUAUUGAAUACCAUUGAUGAGAGAAUAAAGUUAAUUGCACGGCUACCCCGAUCAAUUAUUCGAUUUAGUGCACCUGUCUCUCGACUAGAAACACAAAGCCCAAGCAAGAAACAAAAGCAAAGAUAAGUAAAUGAACUGUUAAAAAGGCAAAUAUGAUGAUCUUAAGCAUCAAUAUUAGAUAUGUAUCAUCAUUUUAUGCAUCACACUAAAUUGACCCAAUACGAUGGCCAAAUGAAAAUUCACUAGUAAACUGUCCUCUCAUCAAUUUGUACAAAUGAUGCUAGAAACAUAUAAAGUGAUAAUAUAAGUGCAGAUCAUCUGAUAUUACUCAUUCAUAUAUCCAGUUAUUAAUUGAAAAUAACAAGAUAGAAGUUUUCAAACAAGGUGUCAAGAAUUAUCCCAAUCAACUAGGUUUUGACACGAAGCUCCAACAAGCCCCAUCUAAUACCAGGUCCAGGGUAGCAUCCCCUUUCUUGAUGUUUCCAAUAUUGUCUAUUAAAUAAUAAUAAUAAUCAUCAUCAAUGGUGGGUCCAGUUACACUUCAUUCAAGCCCCAUGUAUCCAGUAACAGUGCUUAGAUUAAGACUCAGAAUUAUGCUCAAAAUUUGAAGGAUUCAUGUCAAGUACAUGCACUUGAAACAACCAAACAAAGUUAAGGAUAAUAUCAUAAUGGCUCUAAAAGAUACUAAGAGAUUGUACCAGAGAUACUCAAUCUGGUUAGAUCUAUGUUAGCUUGGGUAAUCUUGCCGAUUAUGAGGAUUAGCAGAAGCAGUCUAACAAUUUUCUUCCUUCAAAGCCUACACAGCCAUGUAAUCUCCAAGAUAUACAUCAAGAAAAGGAAUCAAUGUUAUUUGAAAUUAAAUUAAGAUUAGUAUUUGUUGGAGUUAAAUUACGAGUAGCUAAUUAUUAGAGUCAUACUAGGCUAUAGGAGGAUUAGAAUUGAAGUCACAAUAGGUUAUUAGAAUCCUAUUAGAACUUGGAUUUCUUAAAAAAUCCUAUAAAUAAAGUUAAUUGAUGUAAACCAUGAUAGAAUGAUUAAAUAAUAUUAGUUUUUUUAAUUAGAAAACAAAGGAUGUAUUAAUUAUAAAAAUUUAAAAUAAAAUAAAAUAACAUGAGAAGGAUGAGGAGUCCUCCCCACAAUCAAAAAUGAUUGAACGCCUCCACUAUACAAGGAGGCUUAUACAAACAGGUUAAAUCCACAUAAGAAUAUAUAAGGAUGUUGUUUCCUUAAACCUUCACUAAGCUCCUCUUAAUGUUUCCUCAUCCUUUUUUAUGAAUGUCAAUUAAGUUGAAUAACAUUAAGAGGAAUGCCUUUAAAAGCAUCGGUACAAGAGGCCUAAAAAGAGGAACGUCUUUGAUGACCUCCACUUAUCCUCAUAGAUUCUAAGAUUUCUCUCUCUUCACACAAUCUAAAGUAAAAUGAGACAAUUGAUUUGCCAAAGGGUCUUUCCAUUAAUGGAUCUCCCCAAACCCCCUAUAUGAAAUUAUCAUCAUGUUGCACAUGCUCCUUGGUGGAACCCAAUCCAACCUAGUUUGUUUGAAUACACUCUACUAGAGCUCCAAAGUGAGCAAACAAUGUAGAAGAGAGGGUCAAUUGACUCCCCACUCCUCAUAUAUAAACCAAACCAAUUAGGACAAGGGAUUUCUAAGGUCUUCUCAACUAUCCAAUGUUGCUAGUAUUUACCUAUGAGUGUGCCACUAGCUAAGAAAAAGCCUUAGCUUUAGAUGGAGCUUUAGAUUUUCAAAUAAAUUUGGUUGGAGAAAAAAGGAUUGGAUUUGAUGUACUGAACAAAGCCAUUAAGAAUUAUUUGACUAAGAAUAAGCCUAAAGAGGUCUAUGACCAGGAUCUAACAUCUGGAAUUGUUGGAAACAAAUGCACUUAAGAGAUGAGAUGAGUUUUUUUAGGUCCUCGAUCUCUAUGCCAGUGAGGUUGACAUGAGUCUUUCUACAACUAUUGCAAUUCUCAAUGGGGAGAUUCCACUUAUUAUCUUUUAGGUGAGAUUCUAAAUUCUCUUUCUUCUUCCUCUUAUCCUAUUUCACUAUAUUUUUAUUUUUAUUUUUUUCCGCUACCAUAUACUUUAUCACUUGUUCCUCUCCUUGAAACCUAGAAGAUAAAAAUCCUACCCCACCAACUUAGUUUUAGACAAUCAUUCGAGAGUUGUCCUACAAUUAUUGGUAUCAAAGUGAAAGUUCUUGACUUGAAGAUACUACUUGAGGAGUAGAGCAAUUCAUUCAACCAUGAUUAAAGACUACAAUUUCUUUAUGCAACCACUUGUGAACAUACCAAGGGCAAAUGAAAAGAAAGAUUGACAAUGCACUAACAUCUUCCAAACACAUGUUGGUUGCUAAGGGAGAUUAUGCACUAUGACUAUUGAUAGAGGUAGUAAUUCUAACUUAGUUAUUUAUGGAACAUGCUGAGAAAGUUAACCUAAAAAAAAAAAAAGCCAAAGGAGCAUCCAAAUCCCUAUCAAAUAGCAUGGGUAAAUGAAACAUCUAUUUGAUGCAUUCUCAUUGUCUAGUAACUUUUAACUUUAGAAAUAAUUUUAAGUUAUCAAUAUGAUGUGAUGUUCUUCCAAUGGAAGUUAUCCAUAUUGUGCUUAGAAGAUCAUGGCUUUUUUACAAGAACACUUAUACACUUGUGCAUGAUGGGCAUAAGAAGAUCCUUUGUCCAAUAAAAGAAAUUCCACCACUUAAGCAUCCAGGUAAAAUAUUAGCAUCCUUAAAACCAGAAGUAUCGUCAAAUACUCCCAUAAGAAGCAAUUCAAAGUGAGGAGGAAGAAAUUGUCAGUGACAAAUAUAGAAUGUAAAAGAUUAUGGAAUCGAUUCUAGAACAACUUAUAGGAGAGCUUAAAGAAGUUGCAAAAGCUUUAGAGGAACUGGUGUUCAACUUACCAAGGCAAAACAUUAUUAUGAUUGGUGGGAAACAUGAAGAAUUCUAUGUUGGUUUAAUAGGAAUUACUAGAAUUUCUUUUGAAUUUAAGGAAUUCAAGAAUCUUAUUGUUCUGUAAUAUAGAUUACAAAAGGGGUAUAGGAAGCAACUUGUCACAAGCUUGUUGAUGACCAAAUUAUUUCAAGAAGUAUCAACCUAUUUCACAAUAGUGGAAAAUCUUUGGAAGUUUAGUACUUGCCUCACAUGAAAUUGAACAAGUUCAAGAGAUCUCGCGACCCUAUCUUAACAUGGUAAAGAGUAAAUGAAGAAAGAAACGGUGGAAGGCAUUGUUCGAGAUGUAAUUGAGUAUGGAAAAUCACUAAAACUGGAAGGCGAGUUUUUUUCCAAGUUAUAGGGAAUUAAUAAGGAUAAAUCUCCAAGAUAUACAUCAAGAAACAAAAUUAGUAUUAGUUGGAAUUAAAUUAAGAUUAAUAUUUACAGAAGUUAAAUUAUGAGUGGCUAAUAAUUAUAGCCAUACUGGGCAUGUUAGGUACGUGGGAAUGAGGACUGGGAAUGAGCAUCUCAUUCUUUUUCUCCUUCAUUCCCAUGUUUAAAUAACUUAAAUGAUGAUAGGAAUGGAAAAUGAAAUCCUACUUAUAAGGAGGAUUUCAAUUCAUCCCAACUAUGAGGUAUUUGAUUCCCUAGUGCAAGUAAUUUUUAAAAAUACUUUUCAAAAUUAAAAACCUAAAGACUUUUUUAGAUAAGUUGUAUUUAAAAAUAGCUUUUUAUUUUAAUUUUGUUAAAAAGAAAAAUUGUAAAUUCAAUUUAUACAAUGUAAACUAAAUUUAAUUCACAUCUUAUUAGAAAUAAAAACAAUUUUUUAUUUACAAAUAAAUUUAAAAUAAAUAGUUUUUAAUAAAAUAUGAAUAUUAAUAAUAUAAUAAAAUCAUAACUUAUAUUUUUUAUAAAUAUUAUAAUAAUAUAGAUAUUAAAUUAAUUGAUUUAUUUUGUUAAAAAUAAAGAAUAAUAAUUCAAAAUUAAUAAUUUCUAAUUCUAUUUAUAUGAUUUUAUAAAUAUUAUAAAAUUAUGGAUAUUAACAUCUUAUAAAAGCAUAAUUAAUUAUUUUUAAAAAAAUAAAGAAUAACUAUUCAAAAUUAACAAUUGCUAAUACUAUUCUAUUUUAAAUGAAUACGAAAACAAACAAAAUUUAAUUUUUUUAAGGUAUAAAUGAGCCAAAUUUUUCAUUAUAUAUGUACAUUCAUUACUCAAUUACGAAGAUGGCAUUUUGAAUUAUUUUAUUUAAUCUCUAAUUAAUUAAUCAUUUUUUCGAAUUUCAAAUUAGUCUUAAAAAUUACAAGAUUUAUUAAAGAAUUUAAAGCAUUAAUUAUGUCUAUUAUUUUUUCAUAGUCAUUAUAUAUAUUCUUAGAGUCUUAAAUUAUUUUUUAAAAUUAUUAAACUUAUUAAUAAAUUCAAUAUAAAGUCUCACUUGAUUUGAAAUUCAUUUCUCUAAUGAAAAAAAAAAAUCACAAAAAUAGUUUUCUAUUUUACUUUGUUUUUAAAAACUGUUUCUAAAGAACAUCAACCAAACAUUGAUAUAAAUUUUUAAAAACAAUUUUGUUUUUAAAUCACACACCCAAAUAGAUUUUUAUUAUUUUGCCAAAAAAAAAAAAAAAAACUCUCAAGGAUUUUUUUUUUAAAUGAAAACAAAAAAUUAUUUCAAACUAUGUACAAUGUCAGAUUUUUUAAAUAAAAAUAAAAAAAUAUUUUAAAUUUCUAAUUUUACAUUCCUAUAUGCAUCCAAGCACAUGAAUUGAAAUUACUAAAUUCAUUCCUAUUCAAGGGGGAAUAGGAAUGGAAACAGAAUAUUCAUUCUCAUUCCUCAUUCCCGUGUACCAAACAUGUCAAAUAGUUAUAGGAGAAUUAAAAUUAAAGUCAUAAUAUGAUAUUAGAAUCCUAGGAGAAUUUGGACUUCCUAGAGAAACCUUAAUCAUAAAUAAAAGCUUAUAAAAGCUUAGAAUCCUAGUAGAAUUUGAAUUUCUUAUAAAAGCUUAUAAACAAGGUUAAUUAAAGUAAACCAAGAUAAAGUGAUUAAAUAAUCUUGUUUUCUUUUUUUCAAGUGUCUCAAUUCUCAAUGGUGGCACUGAAUUGAUUUUAUUCUAGGAGGGAGUACUAGAUGAUCUUAUUGAGAUUUUAAGGUUUCUAUUCCCUCUUUUUUUUCUCCUCUUUCUCUGUAUUUUUAUUUUAUUUUUUUCCACUAUCAUAAACUUUAUCCCUUGUUCCUUUCCUUAAAUCCUAAAAGAUAAAAACCCUAGCCCACAUACUUGAUUGUAGACAUUUAUUCGAGGGUAGUCCUACAUUAGCUCCUCUGCAAUCAUAAUUGCUGAAACAAGUCCUAAUAAAAAACAUAAUAAUAAUAAUUGAUCUCCUUCAAAGAUUAAUGCCCUCCCUCAGUUCAGUGUGUUUCUCUCCUUUGGCAGAUUCUAGAGCGUGGUCUUUGUCUUCAUCAGGCUUGUUUUCAGUGAAAUUUUUUUUCUUGGCCUUGUCAAAAGUCUCUAAUCCUGUUUUGUUCCUUCCGGCCAAGUUUUUGUGGAGUUCAAAAGUCCCUUCAAAGGUUAAGGCCCUCGCUUGGAUAGUAGCUCAUGGGAAGGUGAACACCAAUGAUAAGUUGCAAUUGAGAAGACCCUACAAGUCCCUUUAUCCUCAAUGGUGCAUUCUUUGCAAAGGAAAUGGAGAGUCGAUUGUUCACCUUUUUCUUCAUUGUCCUCUUACCAUUGGACUCUGGAACAAGUUGUUCAAGCUAGCUGGGUUGGAUUGGGUCCCUCCAAGGAGUUUUGAGGACAUGUUGGUUAUUGCUUUUAAAGGCUUGGGGAAUUCUUUAAGAGGCAAGACUCUUUGGCAAGUUGCUUGCCUUACUUUGGUUUGGAUAGUGUGGCAAGAGCAAAACAAUAGGAUUUUUGAGGAUAAGGGGAGAUCGGAAGAGACGUUAUGGGAUUUGAUUUUGUUUAAUUCCUCUCUUUGGGCUUCUUGUUCUGCAGCUUUUAGAGGAGUUCCUCUAAAUGUGUUACAACUCAACUGGAGUGAGGUUUGCGCUUCAAAAGUUUGAGUUUGUGGGGGCUUCUCUUUGGGGUUUCUCUUUGUUUUUAGCUAAUAUUGGGUGUUUUUUCUGUUGUUCAGUUUGUGUAGGAAGGACCUCUCAUCCUUCUAAGGGUUUCUUUUGUUUCUUUUUUCUUUUCUUUCUCCUGUAUCUUUCCUUCUAUUAAUAUAUUUCUCUUCGUUUCUUAUCAAAAAAAAAUAAUUGUUAAAAUAGGCUAACUAGCACAGCUCUCUAAUUUCCAAAUGAGGCAAAUAGAGUUGGCUUCAAGUGGUCUCUUGAAAAGCAAGUGUUGAUUGUUUUACAUAAUCUAAGCAAGGACAAGCAUCUAGUCUCGAUGGGAUAACUAUGGAUUUUUGAAAAUAGUGUUGGGAGAUGUCAGAGAGUAACUAAUGGUAAUUGUAAGGGAUUUAUCUACAAACAGAGGGAAAAAAAAACUUGAAGGUAACAUUAGAAAGGGUAGAGCAGAGGAUAUUUAAGACUUCAGGCCAAUGAGUUUUAUGGGUGUUUUGUAUAAACUUCUGUCCAAAAUUCUUGCUAAUAGACUCAGGAAGGUGGUUGAGAGACUUGUGGGGCAGAUUCAGAAUUGAUUUACAGAUGUUGGGUAUUGGUAAUGCAGUUAUUGCUAAUGAAACAACUGAUUCAAAAUUGAAGAGUUCAAUGACAGUUUUUGCUAGUAAUUUGGGCAUUGAAAAAGUUUAUAACACUAGAAGUUCGUGUUUUUUUAAGGUCAUUGAGAAAAAAAUUGAUUUUGGGCAAAAAUGAAUUGAUUGAAUAAGAUAUUCAUUUCUAUUAUCAGAUUUUCUUUAUUGGUUAAUUGGGUAACUAUUUUUUUCUUUUUUCUAGAGUUCACAAUGUCUUUAGACAAGGGGAUCUGCUCUCACCUUAACUACUUGUUAUGGUGAUGGAAGUCUUGAGUUGUCUCAUUCUAAAAGUGGUUGAUGGUGAUUAAAUCCAGAUCUUCAACAUGGGGAAAAGAAAACAAUAGUUUUCUUAUUCAAUUUUUGCUAGAUACCCUAUCAUUCUAAGAGAAGGAGGAUGGAUAGCUUAUGUACUUAAGAUCUCAUCAUAUCAUGAAGCUCCUGGUUUGAGAAUCAAGAUAAGGAAAAGGUGAAAUCAUUGUUGCACAUGAAAUAAAGGGUUGGGGAGGGUUUAUCAGAGGUUCCAAGUUCAAGACAAAAAUUUACCUAUCAAAAAAUUGUUGUAGGUGAAAUGGAGUAUGUCAAAGUAUGAGUUUUAGGAUUUCCUACCAAAAAAAAAAAAGUAUUAGCUUUAGGAUUUGGGUGUAGAGUGGAUCAGCUCCCAUCAGCCUAACUGUUGAUAAUGCUAGAUUAGUCCUUUAAAGCUAUAUUGAUUUGGAAAUCAGUGGCAGAACAUCUUUUAGAAAGAAUCACUCCCUGGAAAAGACAGUAUCUUUGUGGGGGAGAUUAACUUUCACUACAAGCACCAUUUCUAAACUGCCAGUGUACUUCAUGUCUUCACUUGUCACACCAAUAUUUGCUUCAGGCCAUGUUAGAGAAGAUUCAAAGAGAUCUUUUAUAGGGAGAAAACAUUGAAAGAAAAUCGCAUCCGGUGCACCUGGCAAGUGUAUGCUUUGUUAAGGAGAACAGAGUGUGGGUAUAUGCAGUUUAUUGACUCUAAAGGUUCUGGCAAUGGCUGGCAGAGAAGGGAACAUCAUUGUGGGAAAGUUUGAGAAGAAGAUGAUCAUUUGUGUUCUGGGUGGGAAGAAGAGCAACUAGGUAGAGCCUACAGAAAGCCAUUUGAGAAGGUGGAUGUCUUUUUAACGAAUUGUUUGUUUCUGAUAAAAAAACUGAUGCAGGUUUCAUCCACUAAUUAAUACAUGCAUAUCUUUUAGUACAAGAAAAUACAUGAAACAACAGACAUCUCUCAGAAAAUUUCCAGAAAGCUGAAGACAAGAUUUGUCCAAACAAUACCUCAGAUGAUACUGAAGAUCAAGAUCAUGCAAAUGCGAAAACACCUGCAGAAAUCAAAUAUUGUCAUAUAAGUUUUAAGAAGGGUACUAGAACACAGAACACUGGAGACACACACACAAAAAUACAUAGAUGCAUAUAACAGAAAGUAUUGGGGAAAGAAUGUAUUAGAAAAAAUUGCCAAGUAGUGCUCUUGGAUAUAAAUUUAAUCUGUAAAUGGAUGCUCUAUAGUGUUAUGCAAGCGUAUAACAAGUAUCAAUUGUCUUUCAUGGUUACUUAGUUAACAUUAAUUAGGUAAAUGAACGUUUUUCCUGUGGUCAACCCUCCCAAGGCUGUUGCAGUAUCAUUAACCUUUCUUCUUAAUCAAAAUAUUUUCCUCAUUCCAUUCCAUCUUCGUAUCAUAGCAUGGCACUAACAGGUUGAGCACCUUCAUUAACAGUGCACCCUCGAAAAGAACCUAGCAUUUGUUAAGCAGGUUGUAAAAGAAAAAAUCACAAUGUGUUCCAUUUAGGAGGCCUCAAUAAAAACCCAACCAUCGACCAUUUAGUCUUGCCGUCUUCAUAUCUUUUUUCAGGAUUUGAAAUAGAAAAUAAAUAAUUCAUGUAUCACUAUGGAAUUGUGAAUGGUAAAUUCUCCAUAAUCAUAAGCUGAAGGAAUUAGUUAACAAAGAGUAGAAAAAAGAAGAUACUAAUAAUAUAUUUUAAUUCAAGAGACAAAGGUGUAGAGUAAUAGCAGGUCAACCUGAACUCAACCCAUUUCCUAUUAAAAUGGCUACCAGACAUGGUAAAUUAUUUUAUACAGGAGAAAACCGACAUCUAGAACUCAUGAAUGACAAUGCUAGUCAGGAUCAGGGAUUGCCACCAAAGGAAUGAACUUAUACACACUGCAUAAUAAUUUUGUGGUCCUCAAACAGUUACUAAUUAAAACAAGGAGAUGAAACUAGCAAUUCCAUACCCUCCUGGAUACUGAUCGAAUUGUUCGCAAUGCCACCUUAGAGAACACAGCGGUCCGCAAUUCUGCCACAACAGAAUUUCACUUACCAUAAGAACGGAAAAAGGAGGAAUAUUUCUUUAAAAAAACUGCAGGAAGAAGCCUAUACUGCCAAGAGAAACAUUACCAAAAGGCAAAAAGGAGAAACUUGGUUUGGAAGUUGAAGAGAGAGAGAGGGAAAGGAAAAUGAUGAAGUAGGUCCGGAAUAGAAUUCGGAAGUCAGCAUUUUCAUCUCCUUUCUUCUGUUGUUCAUUAUGAGUUUCUAAACCUAACAUAACGAGUGUAGUUCAGAUGUAUAUAAUACCAUUAAAAGCAGAAGCCCCAGAACGAGCUAUCCCAUAUCCAACUAAAACAGCAGCUGGGCUCACAAAUAAAGCCAAAGCAGUUGAAUUAGCAGUAGUAAAGGAAGCAAGAGCAGUAGCAUUUCCAGUUGUGGUCGUUAACCAAUCAACAGCAAGCUUGAAUAAAAAAGGCACCUGGACAUUUAGAACCUGAAAGAGAAAAACACAAAUUCUGAAACUUUAAAGAAAAAAAAAUGAUUUUAAAUAAAGUGAAUGGUGUGAAAAGAGAAGGGCAUCAUGGGAAACAGACCUUAGCCCCAACCAAGAAACCCAAGGCCAUAAUCACCCUGAAACGGAAUUCCGGGUUGUCUUUCGACCAUAAGUACUUAGCAAGAGUGCGGAGGAUUUUCAUAUCAGCGGCAUGUUCAUCCGAAACAACUUUUGCUUGAUUUUUCUUUCCAACCUGUUUUGUUGCCGUUACAUCACCAGCAGUAGAUGUGGAGAAGAGUGCGUAUCCUUUGAGCGUCCAACUCUGUUCCUUUCAUUUCAAGUAUAAAAAAUCAUCAUCACCCUCUAGAGGAAUUCAGAUAUGAAGCAGAGGAAAAAAUAAUAAUAAUAAUGAGAUGAACUCACAGGGUGUCGGUGGUAAGGGGAAGGUGGUCGAUAGGAGGGAGGCGAAUCCGAUAGAAAGCUGUUCAAAUGUCUAAAAAAAUGGAUCCUUCUGGUGAUGUUGAGGUUGCGAGCGAUUCCCAAUUCUCUUCCAUUGCAGAUAUUGAUAGUUGAAUUAUUACGAUGAGAAUAGCGUAACAAAAAGCGCUUUGAAUUUCCCGAAAACAACCUUGAGCAAGAAGCAACGCCCGCCAUUGUUUCUGCAAUCUAAUCCACUGUAAAUAAAUCUGAAAACCCUAAUCCUAGUCUGGCCCUCCCCUCUGAUUUUUAUGUUUGAGGAUGGCGGUCUUCCUUAUUUUUUCUCUUUUUGGGUUAAUGCUGAUGAACUCUCUAGUAUUCUUAAGACCAAGUAUCUUGUCAGAAGCGCUUCUGUCGCCGUAUCAGACCUCUCUCUCUCUCUCUCUCUCUCUAUAUAUAUAUAUAUAUAUAUAUAUUUAGUCGGCCACUACCGAGAAUUCUAGCCCUAAAUAAGGGGAAACAAAAUAUUCCUUUAUAAUUAAGAGGCUGAAUUUGUGAUUUAGGAAAAGAAAAAAAUAUUAUCAUUUUAAAUUUUUCCAAGGACCCAAUGAACAAAAUUGGGUAAAAAAUGUGAGAAAAUUUCCAUUUUUCGAAGUUGCAGUGAAUAGUGCCUUGUUUGCAUGAGAACGUCUGUCCCAUUCAAUUUACUGUAAUACAUGGAGUGAAAAAACCUCAUGAUUCUGCUAAAUUUAAAUUGAAAUGGAAAUAUUUUGAGCUAUAGCACUGUUAGACAAGGUAUUUCUCAGUUUGAAUAGAAGCUUUUUGUCCCGAUAGAGGAGGGUAUUUUUUCAGAACCACAAAAAAUAAAUAAAAAGAGAGGAGAUGUAUAUUGGACAAAGACGGGAAAAAGGGUAAGAGUUGCUUAUCCCGUCUUCCCACCAUAGAGUCCUUGUCUCUCCCGGACCUUUGAAGAAUGGAAGCCGCGGCCUGCUUGCAGUAUAAGGCGCCAAGGGUGGUGGUGUCACCAAACAGGUGCGUGAUGAUGAACAGAAGCCUGAAUAUGGUGAUAGUGAAGAGGAGGAGUUCAUAUUCAGUAGUGAGGUGUAGUGGUGGUGGUGGAGGGGGGAUUGGAAUAGGCGACCUGGUAGGAGGAGAUUUGGUGAAAUUAGAUCUGGGGCGUUGGCUCUCGGACGUGGAAGAGCACAAAGCCCUGGCCAUAUACUCUCCCCACGAGGGAGGCUAUGAGGGUCGAUAUCUCAACAGGCUGAGGUACCAGGGCUACUAUUUCCUUGACCUCUCAGCUCGUGGCCUGGGUGAUCCUGAAACCACUCUCACUGAGAUUCACCCCGUUUGUCCUGUUAGUUUCUCCCCCACUCCCUCCGCUCCCCUCUAUCAUGCAUUUCCCCAUCCAUGCAAAAAGGCUGAAUUAUGCUCUCUUCUUCUUUUUCUCUUUGGCCUUGGCCGACUGUAGGCUCACGUUGGGAAGCAGCCCAUUGCAAGGUGGUAUUUUCCCCCAGAAGUGGACUAUAGGCUCUCUUUGCUGCCUCCAAACGCCAAGGGACUUGUGGUCUGGAUCAUUGAAGCCAAGGUAGGCACCCUACCACUCCCAUAACCAAUGCAGUUUAAGUUAACCCUUUGUUGAACUAUGCCUUCAUAUCCAGGUUCUCUCAAAGUCGGAAUUGCAGUUUCUUGCCUUGCUGCCCACCCUCCGUCCCAAGGUCAGGGUCAUUGCAGAAUGUGGAAACUGGUAAGACUGCCUCCUAGGAGAAAAUCUGCGUCAAAGAAUACUUAAUAAUCAUUGAUUUCUGUCAAAUGCACAGGAGAAAAUUCAUGUGGAAGCCACUCAAAGAGAUUGCCGCACUCACUGGGAACGAGGAUGCAUGAUGAUCCUAAUGCUAUGCCUCAAUCUGUCCUCAAGGUUUCUGAUGUAAUCCAAUUUUACCAAAUGGGUAGUGACAGUGACAGAUCUUCUAUACUGUACCGCAGAGGACCCAAAGUAUGGUAUAAAAUAAAAUUAUCUCUGCUCAUUGCUGUGGAAAACUGAACUCAAAGUCAGCUUGCGCCCAUAAACAGGAUUUUUUCGACUAAGAAGUUCUGUUGGCAAAAUAUUUGACAUUGUAUCCUUCAUACUAUAUAAUCAAUCAUCUACCAUUACAGCUUAUAUGCUUUAGCAACAGAAAGAUCAAUCGAAAGAUUUGAUGAAUGUGUUGCUUAUAUACAAUUGUGAGGUCAAGUCCUGAACCCAAUAGAAACUUACAUUUCCAACCAAAAAAGAAUGAGAUGAGAAAAGAAAUAUCAAACUUCUAGGAAAGGAUGAUAUAAUUGGUUAACAACAUCAUAAUACAAAAAUGGCCAGCAUCCGAUCCAACAAUGUAAACCAUGUCGGCACCUUGCUGCUUGCUGCAAUUUCUAUCCUGCAAUCCCCUCCUAUGUCAUAGCAGCUACCAAGCUUUCAAGUUGUACAUUGGUGAUGAUGUAUAAUUUUGAGAAAAGAAAGAAGAAAAAAAGAGGGAGACUCUACAACUGUCAACUAAAUUUUUCUCUUCCCACGCCUUCCAGUAUCUAAAUCAACUAGCCUUGAAGAUGAAGGAGCAGGAGAUGGGGUUAACAAACCAACAGAUUCCGGAAUGUCAAGACUGACCCUCAUGGAUGAGCCUGCAACUGCACGUUUGAUGUCAAGUUCAUGUAGUUGCCGAACUUCAAGUCUGACCUUUUCAAUCUGCCCAUGAAUAUGUAAAGAGAGAAUACCAAUAAGUGCAUGCAAAUCUGACAAUCAAUUUUCUGCAGGUUAGAUAUUUCUAAUUGAUCUUUCUCAUAACACCCAAUGCAUAAGCAUAAGAUGGAUGUCCUUACUAGUUCAAUGUGAUGAAUGGAUGAAUGAGCAUCUACAAGUCUCUUCUGCAGAUCAUCAGCCUUUCUCCUUUGAUAUUCAGAAUUCUCCAUUUCAUUUCCCCUCUCACCUAAUUCUUGAUACAAAGCUACAAGACAACAAAAAAUAACUAAAUAGCCCUGGUGAUAUGCAAAACUUAAUUCCAUCCAGAUUCAACGUAAUAAAGAAGCGGAAUAUCUUCUGAACACAGCCAGCCAGGCCAAGUUAACGAAGACAAUCAAUCUAUCAGAAAUUUGGCAGAAUGUUUCUAGAAUCAUGUUUGCUUUAGCACUCUGAUAGUUUUAAUCUGCUCUAAAAUGCUCUUUCUUAUGUUCUUUUUAUCCUCUUGUUUGUUUGAAGAGUUACAAAAAAAAAAAAAAUAUCACAGAUUUUACAUAGUUAUUGUGGAAUAUUAACAACUUGCUUACACCACAUAAGACCCAACCAAUUUGAACACAUUUUAAUACCACAUAUAGACCCAACCAAUUUAAAGCAUUUUUUUUUUCAAGAACAUUGCAAAGAGGUAUAUAUUUGUCACAUGUUAUCAAAUUCUUAUAGAGAUAGGUCAAGCAUGCAGACACCUCAAAUUUAAUGACAGUUUUCCCUAAAGACCUAUGCAAAGUAAUGACAUAAAAUAAGUAAUACUGUGAUUUAAGUAGAUAUUCUUUGUUGGUUUCCACUGUGGAUGGGGUAGUCCAACUCAGGUACACACUAUGCCAAAGACCUUUCUUUUGCUUUCCAGAAACCCAGAGUAAUCAAUGCAAACCUGUAUGUGUCUGGUUUACAGUAUGUCAUAAACAUUCUUUUUAUACUUAAAAAAUUAAAAAUUAAAACACACACACACAAGAGGUAAUAUGGGAUGACUUAUACCUGUCAAAACUGACAGUACCCAUAUCUGAGUUGGGAUGUCACAGAGCUUCUUAGCUAAUGUAAGGGAGGACCUCAGGAUCUCUCUUGCUUGUCCAGUGUCAUGCAAGGCAAGUGCCAAACUUCCAAGAAUGGUCAAAUACUGUGAAACAAGUUGAAGAUUCCCCAGGUGAUUAUGUGUGAUCUGCAAGCCAGUGGCCAGUCGAAUUCUGCAUCAAAGUUGUUACUUUGGAAUAAGGAGAGAAUGAAUGAGAAACACACACAUGCACGUAUGCACAGAUAAGUUCAAGCCUCUCAGUAAAUUGGUAAAUGCUGAAUUACAAACAUGUGAUCUACCAUACAUUUUGAUCCUGCUUAACUUCAAGAGACAGUUAAGAUGAACGAAAGCUCCCCAAUCAUUCACCAUACAGAUAUUGUGGAUACUAGAAAGGCAUCGCAGUUGUUUUAUUAUUUGUGUUUAUACCCACAAGUGGAAGAUGACUGCUACCAACUAAUUCAUUUUAUUAUGGUCACAAUCAGGUUGCCAUGUACUGUUUGAGGAUUCACGAUCUGGGUUGUCAUGUGCUGUUUGAGGUUUUCUUUACUUUUAUUGAACAAAGCAGUGGUAAUUACAAGUGAAAAGUGAAUGCUUAGAAAAGUUCUUUCGCCUGCUUUUUGGCUCUCUUUGUGUACUCCGUAUGUACUUGAUGUGCCUUUCUCUAUGCUUCUAAUCUAUUUGCUUAUUUACCUAUCAAAAAAAGUUCAACAACUACGCAAAUAUGCAUACAUAUAUAAACCAACACAAAGUACUUAAACAACACAACCCUUGAGGAGGAUAGAGAUCACCCUUAAUCACCUCAAAUGAGAGAGCCACCUUUUAGCCCAACUUCCACCUGUACAUUAACCAAUCUAGGAAACUUUUUUACAACAUUAAAAUCUCCAUUAAGUUUGGGGCUGAUAGGGUUGCAUUUGAAUGCGGGUUCCAACUCAUAAUUUUCAGAGGGCUGUACCAAAGUCCUAGGAUCGAUUUGUCUUCAUCAGGGCUGCAAAAGGAUUUCUCCAUGGAAGAGUAACACUCAUUUUGUAGCCCAUCAGGCCAAUUGUAAUAGAUAACCAACACUAGCUUCGCAGUUUAAGUGGGUGUUUGUAGAUUACACUAAAAUGUUGUUCCACUCAGUAUUAUAGCAUUUAAAAUGCAAAUCCCUCCUUUACAAUUUUCAAAAGAGAACUGAUGGUCAGUUCAUAAAAUAUGCAAGUGCUUGAAGGUUCCAUCAAAAGGAAAACACACAAAUGAUUGAUUCCAUUUCUAUUGGUAUCCAUAACUCCAAAGUCUUAACAAAAAUAAUAACCAACACACUCAGGGUAGAGGUAAGCUAAGAACUGAAACAUUUACCGUGCUUCUUGUAAAUUGUGUUGUUUCAUCAGUAAAAGGCCAUAAGCAAAGAGAACACUGGUUUUCUCUCGCACUCCAACAAAUGAAUCCAUCAUUCUGUAAACUGGUCCAAUCAAAUCAAAUGCCUGCACAAAAACAACUUUUCUGUAAGAGCAUUUAACUUAUGAAAAUGAUAACUGAAACUAAAAAUUAAUUAUAAUUUUCAGAAAAUAACCCAUUUUCUAUUACAAGAAGGAAUUUUCACCUGUGAAGAUGAUUCAGCAUCACCAAUGCAGAUGUAAGAAACAGCUGCAUAAACUUGGCACAUAGCUUGCAUUGAUUUGCUCUCCGUUAGCUACAAUUACCAUUAUUUGUGAUUUAUAUAACAUUUCACAAACAAUUCUUAAGUUGAAAGAGGAAAGAAACCCAUAAAACAUGUGUCAACACUUAAAAUGUGCACAGAGAGAGGACCAAUCCAAUGUCAGUGCCAGCACUCCUAUCCCUCAUUCGGAUCUCUAACUCUAAAGUCUCCAAUUACUAGUUUCCAAUAUGUAAAAUAUAUUUCAAAAGGAUUACAACAAAGAGGCAACUUCCAUCUCAUCUCUCAUGCUUUAAAUCAAUUGCUAUGAAAUGCAGACUAUUCUGUUAAAAACCAAACAACAUUCCGUCUUUUACUUGAAUCAAAUGGGAAAAAAUACUACUACUACACUCAAAAUCAUUGAUGUUGCAGAGAAUUUAAAAUAAAAAUAAGAAGAAAUAUGGGAGAUGCCAGGCAAGAUAGAAGUCCCCUGCCUCCUUAUUCCCGUAGUUUAAACACUUUUUACAUAAACCCUAACUAAGACAUCAGUCCAAUUGCUAAUUUGACGAGGAAUAGGCAAAACAGGAUAAUUGGCAAUUGGUUUUCACCAUGAGCCCGAGGGACAACAAUCUUUAAAACAACAUAAAUCAAAUGCGAAUCAGCCAUACAAGCAAGAAUUUCAUAUGGACUUAUGACAGGACACAAUGAAGUAAUUGAGGAUGUAUCAAUGGAAAUUUAGAAAAUUUUACCAUUAAGAAAUCAUAUGAUAUAAUCGCAUUGCAAUAAAAUAUCCUUAAAAUAUUUUUAAAAAGGAAUGGCACAACCAUAACGUUUCACUCAACUUCUAGAACAUAACAGACUAGGAAGAGGUUCCUCCACACAUCUGAAGCCAAUUUUUGUUUUUUAACAUUUGAUAAAAACAAAAAAUAAAAAAUAAAAACAAAUGUUUUUAACAUCUUAAACAACAUACUCAUGUAAAAAAAAAAGGCUAAAUAAACAAAUUAAACAACAAACCUUUGCUGCUUCAAUAAAAUGGAAAGCUGCUUCACUAAAACAUCCAACUGAAUGAGCAUACUGCCCUCUGAGCAUCUCAAUAAUGCUUUCACAAGCUUGUAAAAUUGUUGGAAAGCGAAGGAACCAAUUUCUCAUCUGCACCAAGGCCUGCAGUCAUACAGAUCAUGAUUACUUUUCUUUUAUUUUCUAUUUUCAUUUUUCAAUUGGGUCUUGGUUACUGGUUUUGUUUUAUUAGUUCAUUCAUGCACACACAUGUACACAUACAUACAUGUGUCUAUGCACAUGCAUGCCAAGAAUAAGAUUAAAGAUUAGAGAACUUACUAUCACACCAAAGUGACACUAACAAUAGUCUAUUGCAACUUAUGAAAGUCCAGCUGCUCAGUUAUCAAAACAACUGCAGAAACGUGACUAUUCAUUUCAAGAAACAUUUGGCCAUCUCAUGGAAAGGAAAUACCAAAUGAGCCCCUUUCCAUAGCUUUUGAAAUCAAUUUAUUCCAUAAUAAGCAUAGAAAAUAAAGGUGUUUCUCUAUUUUUACUUUGAAUAACAGAUAAAGUAUUUAUACAGGAUCCCUACAACCCAAAAAAAGGAAACUUCCUAAUAAUUUGUUCCUAUAAAUCAGCUCUUAUUAGGUACAGCUCAUAUAAUAUAAUACAAAAUAAAUACAUAAAUAAAUUCAAAAAUAAACAUAGUUUUUUCCUAAAAAUCAAGACUUGAUUAGGGAACCAAUAUUCUCUCUCCUGAUUGGAUUCUAAAUCUGUAAAUACUCCCCCUCAAGCUGGAUAGAAGAUAUCGUCCCUUCCCAUCUUGCUAGUCAACUCCUAAAAUGAAUGGCUGGCUAGUUCCUUGGUUAACUUUAGCAACUCACAAAUCUCAACUGUCAUAGCUUUGAACUCUACUUCUGCACUUGACCUAGCAACAACUAAUUGUUUCUUGCUUCUCCAAAGUUGAUCUUCUAUCAGUAAUGAAUCUUGACAAAUCAACAUUAGAAUAGGCCUCUAAACUCAACUCUCCAUUUCUCUUAAAGAGAAUUCCUUUCCCUGGGUGAAGUUCAGAUAAUAAAAAAUUCUGUGAACAACCUCUAGAUGAACCUCUCUAGGGGAAUACAUAAAUUCAAUCGCCACACUUACUGCAUAGGCUAUAUUUGGACAUGUAUGAGACAAAUAAAUCAGUUUUCCAACUACCCGUUGAUAUCUCCCACAAUCCACUACUGUAUCUUCUUUGGCUUCUCCAUGUUUAUGAUUCAGAGUCAUUGGGAUAUCAACAGGUUUACAGCCAAUCAUCCAUGUGCCUUUAAGGAGAUCAAGAAGGUAAUUUUGUUGUGAGAUGAAGAUCCCACUUCUCGAGUAAACAACUUCAAUACCCAGAAAUACUUGAGCCUCCCCAAAUCUUUUAUUUGAACUCUUUGGACAAUUGCCCUCUAAGCUCAUAUAUCUCUACAAGAUCAUCACCUGUCACAAUAAUAUCAUCCACAUAACACUAUCAAGGUUGUUACUUUACCAAAUGAUGAGUGCUUGAUCAAGAGAGUGUAAUAUCCUUCGACUAUGCCAAAACUUCAUAUCAACCAUAGGUUUAGAAAACCUUCCAAGCCAUGCUCUAGGAGAUUGCUCCAACCUAUAUAAUGCCUUCUUCCACCUACGCACAAGUGCCUCUUGAACUGUUCAUGGAAUUUUGACAUGGAUCAAUUUGGAUAGCAAGCCACAAUGCGAAGAAGAUAAUUUACCAAAAAGAACUAAGGUUGGAGAUGGGUUGUUGAGUACACUUUCUUGUUCCUUUCCUAAGGGUGAUAGGUAAUUCUAAACCAUCAAAAGAUGGCAUUGGUUCGUUGGUAGUGCAUGUUUGAAUGAGUUUUGUUUGUUCCUUUGAAGAUAAAGGAGAAGAAGAAUGAGAGCGAAGUUCAGUACUUAUUACUGGUUCAGAGUUUGAGACCUGCACUGGAACAAGAGGUGGUUGUCUCCUCCUUAAAUAGAAUUGCAACGGCACAACAGUUUCCCCUUGGUCAUUUCCAAAAGAUAAAUUAGCUAUUGUUUUCAAGAAAGUAUUUUUGUCUAGUGAUGGAAGAUCAGCUUAUGGGCUAAUGGUAGGGUUCAGACUACUUGAUGAAGGGUUUCCCAAGUGGUUGAGAUAAGAAAAACAGCUAGGACUCCCUGAAGAUAAAGGGUAGAAAAGAAGGUCUGAUUUUCAGCAAAGGUCACAUCCAUGGAUACAAACAUUUUUUUCGAGGCUAGGUGACAACACUUGCAUCCCUUUUUGCUGAAGAGUAGCCCAUAAACAUACUUUUAAGAGAGUGGCAAUCCAAUUUGCUAUGAUGAUUGGCAGGGACAUGAACAAAAGAAGAGCAUCCAAAUAGCUUGGAAGGAGUUAAUUAUAACCACGGAAUUGAGGGAAGAACUCAAAAAGAACAAUUAUGGAAGUCUUGUUGUCCAAGGUUCUAGAGGGCAAUCGAUUAAUUAAGUGUGCUGCAAUUAGAACUGCCCCCUAAAAAAUGUUUCUAGGACAUUUUUCUUAAACAACAAAAAUCAAGUCAUUUCAAGAAGAUGACGGUUUUUUUCACUUAGCCACUUCAUUUUGUUGUGGAGUGUAUGUGCAGAAGAUUGAUGAACAAUUCCCUGCUUCUAAAGAAAAGGGGACACAACUUGAUAAAAAUAUUUUAUACCAUUGUCAAGUCUUAUUUUUUAAAUCAAGACUCCAAACUAAAUACUAAUCAUCUUAUGGAACACUAGAAAUACAAAACUCAUAUCAAAUUUAUUCUUUAAUAAGAAUAGCCAUGUAACUCCAAAGUAGUCAUCAAUAAAGAAAACAAACCAAUGAGCUCCAUUGAUGUUGGGAAUACGAGAUGGCCCCCAAACAUCAGUAUAGAUUAGUGAAAAAGGAAACAAAAGAUUUAGUAUCAUUCAAAGGAAAAUGUACCAGAUAAUAUUUAGCGAAUUCACAAUUAAAAUCACUGACAUUCAAGUAUUUUGGACGGUUUGGAAGGAAAGAAAUAGGAUUGCUUUUGAAAAUGAGGAGUUCUCGAUUCAAAGGUUGAAAUAUUCUUUUGUUAGUAACUUUUGGUUGUGGGCUAAGCCCGUAUAUAGAUGAAGGGUCUAAUUUUUUAAUCAACUUUUUUUCUUGGUUGGGCUCUAGGUGAGGGCGGGUGUGUUUUUUUUAACCCCUCUCUCUUUUGUUUUCGUCUUUUGGCGCCUAUUGUAUACUUCCUGUAUGCUUUGGGUUGUCCAUUAUGUGCCCUCUUCUUAUUAAUAUAUACUUUUUCCGUGUCUUUGCCUAUCAAAAGAAAAUAAUGAGGCUAAAUUUAGGCUUCAUUUAAUGAAUUUUUUUUUUAAAUGAGUGAGAGGAAGACGGCCACUACUGCCAUCACUUGUCUCAAGGAAAUAUAGUCCUUCCAUUUCCUUAGCACGCUCAUUAAGCCUUCCCAUGACCUGAUAGAGGGACACACAAUAAGUUAGGAAGAAUAUUAGACUACAAUUAAGGUCUUUUGUGACUUGAUUGUUGGAUAAAAUAUUAAAUGAUUACCAAUGACAUGCCACAAGUGACAAGACCCUACAAAUCUCUUAGUCCUCAUUGAUGCAUUUUAUGCAAAGGAAAUGGAGAAUCAAUUGACCAUCUUUUUCUACUUGUCUAAUAACACUAGAGCUUUGGCAUAAGCUCUUCAAUGUAGCUAAUAUGGAUUUGGGUUCCACCAAAGAGUAUUGAAGAUAUGAUGAUUAUUUCAUUUAAAGGCUUAGGGAAUUCAAUCAGAGGCAAGACUCUUUGGCAUAUCGCAUUCACCACUGCAUUGUGGUUUGUGUGGCAAAAGAGAAAUGCUAGGAUUUUUUAGGAAAAGUGCAGAACGGAAGGGAUGUUAUGGGAUCUUAUUCAUUUCUACACCUCUUUUUGGGCUUCGUGUACUAUCACUUUUAUAGGAAUUCCACUUAAUGUUAUUCUACUUAGUUGGUUUUUGGUUUGUAAAGGGGUAGAUAACGUUUGAGAGAGUUUAAUCAGGUUUUGUACUUUGUGGGAAGGACGUUUCAUCCGCCUCUUCAACUUUACUAUUAUCAAUAUAUAUUUUGUUUCCAAUAAGAAAAUAAAAAAUAAAAAAUAAAAAAAGGUUAAGUGAUAGUUUAGAAACGCAUAACACAGAUUUUAGUGAGAGAGAUUGUGUCAAAACAAUUGAUCCUUGACUAGCCAUGAUGGUCAAUAUUCCAUCUGCUACUUUGAUUUUUGGGUUUCCAAGGCAAGGGCUAUAGAAAGUGAAUCAAUGGGGAAUUUGUCAUACAGAGGCACUAAAGGCAUAAGAUAAGGAUUAUUCACAUAAGUCAAAAACAAAAGGCGUAGGCUUAUCUAGUGAUGCAAGCAGCCUAUGGAGUUGUUCAAUCUCUUUGUUGUUAAAUCCAUUGAUUUUUGUUGCAUCGAAGACCACUUUCUCUUUAUGAGAACCAUCCUCUAAUGAGCAAGGUUAGCCUAUCCAUUUUGCCAUCUCAAGUUUUAGUUUUCAUUAUCAAUGGAUUGUAGUUAUCCAUGGAGUUUCUACCAAUACUCCUUAGUAACCCAUGGUUUUUUACAGUAGACACACCAAACAUCAUCCUUGUUGCUUGUUGCUCUCAAUUGAUCAAUCUUUCCAAGUUCAACCAUGGAUCCAUUUCCCAACCCAAUGCUUUGGUUUUGUAGUGAACAAAGUUGAGCCUUCAACAACACGAAAAUCAAGCAUCACGAUUCUCCAUCCUUCCUAACCAUUACGAUUGAAAAGACUCCGUUUAAUGAAGGUAGUGAUUCCUUAUCAAGAACCUGGACCUCACACAGACUCUAUAUUCAGACCAACAAGAAAAUGAAAAAGCGUCUAAUAAUUUUAACACAACAUAACAACAUGACUUGAAAACAACAUGAACUUUAGCAAGUUCAAGUUAUAUAUAAUUAUGUUUGUAUCAUAAUAGUGUUAAAUCAGAUAACCAGUUUAAUAAAUGGGUCAUGUUUAGAUAACUCAUAUAACUCAGGUUACAAUUUUUAAAAUUUCUAAGGAUAUAAAAUAAGUCUAUACUUUUUAUAUAAAAAUUUCUAAUUUUUAUAUAGAAGUUAUUACUAACAAAAAACAGAAAAUGUGUCCAAACAAGAUCUAACUAAAGUAAAUUUCAAAUAUUUUAUCAUAAGGAAUAAAAUAUUUUUUUCAUUAAAACAUUAAUAAAAUAAUAACCAAGUGCAAAAUUAAAAUUUUAAUUUAUUUUCUAAUUUAUAACAAUAUUAUAAUUAAAAUUAAAUAAUUAAUUUAAUUAGGAUUAAAAAAUUGUAAUUUGAAAGUUAAAGCAACUAAAAAGUAUUUUAAAAUAAUAUUUUUAUAAAUUUUAAAUAGGUUAAGUGGAUUAUAAUUGUGUUGAGUGUUUUUUUGUGUUCUUUUUGUGAAGGCUUCCUUUUGGUGCUCCUUGUAUACGUACCGUGCACUCUAGUGUACCCUAAUAUAUACAUAUUGAUUUUUACCUAUCAAAAAAAGAAAUUAAUUGUUUUAAUAGGUUUAAUUGGUUAAAAUCGUAUUAAUGGGUUUAACGAGUUACAAUCAUAUUAUUUCAAAUUUUAAUAAUAUACAAUUAUAUAUGUAUGAAGUCAUGCUAACAUCACAAUUUAACCAUAAUUGACCACCAAUCCGAUCAGUGAAUCAUGGUCCAACAAUUUUUUCAAUUCAAUGACCAAUUUGAUUUUGAAAACAUACAGGAUCCUACAAAACCCUGGGGGGUAGCUCAGUUGGUCUGGCCUUGGGUUUACUCCCCAAUGGUCACCAGUUCGAGUCCCGUCAGGGCCACUAGAGGUUUACCCCGUCGUUAACUUCAGGGCCCCAUGGGAUUAGUCGAGGUGCGCGUAAGCUGACCCGAACAUCCACGGUUAUCAAAAAAAAAAAAAAAAACAUACAGGAUCCUACAACCAUGAAAGGGUAACUUCAUAAUAAUCUAAUCCAAUAAAUCUGCUCCUAUUAGGUAACAACUCUUACAAGAUAAAUACAAAAUAAAUAAAAAAGAAAUUCAAAAAUAAACAUAGAUUUUGCCCAAAAAUCAAAACUCAAUUUGGGAACCAAGAUUUCCUCUUCUGAUUUGAUUCUGAAUUUGUUAACAAUAAGUAUGAGAUCAUUAGAAGGGUUAUGAGAAAUGACACAAUUUACAUUCUCACAUUCCAUUCUUGUCAUGACUCCACCUAUUUGCUAAGACUUCCUUUUAAAGAAACAUAUUUCUACAUUUAAGUCUAUAGAAAACAAAAUUCAAGUUUCUCAAUUUAGAUAAAGCCCCUUGUAUACCCUCAGUCCACAUAGUGUGCACCCCUUUUCUUUGAUAACACCAUUUAAUAAAUUUUUUGUUUGCCAAAGAAAAAAAAAUUAAAAACAAAAAUGUCUUAAUCAUUUUCAUAUGUGCAUAUAAAUUUACCUUUUUGAACCAAUAUACACUUAACUACCUUUUUUAUCAUACUUUUUGUAAAGUAUAUUGUACUUCUUAAAAGGAUCUCUCACCCUUUUUUAUACUUAAUAUUUCAAUGCAAUGAAAUUGUAGUUUCCUAUUAUUUAAAAAAAAAAAAAAAAAGUAAAGUACAAAGAAGGAUAAAAAAUAUGAGCAGUGUAUACUAGGGUUUUUUUUUUCUUUUUUUAGUUUUUUAAUUGGAAACAAAAUCAAGAGUCCUCCCCACAGUUACAAAAAGCUAAUAAAAAAAAUGGCUUAACUCUACCACUAUACAAGGAGACCUAGCCAAUAGUUUAGCCCAAAAGAAAAGACAACGGCAUCUCCUUAAACCCAAACAAAACUUCUCUCAUUGCUAUUCGAACCUUUACAUUCUACACAAGAAGGACCAAUCAAGCUUAACAACAUUGAGAAGAAUGCCUUUAAAAACAAAAGUACAAGAGGCCAAAAAAGAAGAAUAGAAGUGAAUUAGAUCCCCUAGUAUCUCUACCAUCCUCUACUUAUCCUCAAAGACCCUAGCAUUCACUACACCAUUGAUAUUAGUGUGAGAAAAGCAGUUUGCUAUAAGAUCUUGCCUCUAAUGGUGCUCCUCAAACCCCUAUAUGAGAUGGUCAUCAUAUCACAUAUGAUCCUUUAUUGUACCAGUUAAGGCUAAGGGUGUAAGGUUUUCCUCGAUUGUAGUAUAUCAUUGGUUUACCUUUUUAUGUGUCAUGAAUUGGGCAAAGGCCUUUUGGAAAGUCAACAUAAUCCAAAGUUAGGAAUUGUAUAUUUUUUUAUUUAAUUUAAGCUAAUUUCUAAUAUUGUGACUUUUUUUUCCUUUACUAUAAAUAUAAUCAAUCCAACACUUAAUUGUUAAAUAUUGAUCCUUGAGUUUUAGGAAUUGUACAACUACAUAAUUAUUUCCCUUUUAGUGUAGAGAAGUCCUCUAUAUAUAUCAUGUACAAAUUCAUUUAGAAAUAAAUGAAUAAUUCUUAUUCGUCACUAUAUGGGGCUUUAGACUUCCAUACAAAUUUGAUUGGAGAAAAGGACCUCUAUCUGACAAAUUGGACAAGGCCAUGAAGAAGGAUUUACUAAGAACAAACCUGAGGAAGAUAAUAACCAAGCUGUCACAUCCGAGACAACUGAAGACAAAUGCACACAAUUUAUAGAAGGAAUAAGUCUUUCAAGGUCCUCAAUCUCUAAAUCAAUGAGGUUACAACGGAAAUUAAGGUUCCAAGAAAAAGAGAGAGUUGUCAAGGAUAGUUGAGAUGGAAAGGUUUUCACGAUAACAACUUUGGAAAGCCUUGGAAAUUGAGAAUAUAAAGGUUUAUAUAUAUAUAUAGGUAAAUAGAGAACAUAAAGGUUGAUCCCUCCACCAUAAAUAUUCCCAAAAACAAAUUCUCAUCUCCUCACCCACCACAAAGCGAGUGUUAUAUAAAAAUCCUCAAAAACCUAUACAAUAGCCUUCCAAGAGCGCCAAUGUGACCAUCUAACUAGAAUGUUAGUAUCCCAAGCACUAGGACAUAUCUCAUAAAUACUCAAAAUGACCUGAUGACAAAGGGGGGAACUUUCCCUAGUAAACCUCCAUAACCGCUUCCCUCAAGAGAGCAUGAUUCCUUAAAGAAACCUUCCCCAAUCUCAAACCUUCACACACCACAGGCUAACAUACUAGGUCUCAACGGAGAAGAUGAUCUCUUUUACCCUCCCUAACCCUCAACUAAAGAAAAUCUCUUUACAACUUCUUAAUCCUUUACAUCAUUGAUGUUGGAAUCUUGAAAAGAGAUACGGAAUGGCUAGGAACGUGGGACAAGCAAGACUGGAUUAUAGUUAUUCUUCUACUUAAUAAUAAAAAAUCAAAAAUAAAAACUUUUUUCCACCCUUCCUAUCUCCUCGAAAUUUUGCAAAUCAUUAGAUCUCAAAAUGCAUUUGCCUUUGGGUUUCAGCCCAAUGAAAGACCUAGGUAAGUUAGAGGACAGUCUAAGAUUUUACAUUCAAGCAUCAAAACUAAACUAGAGAGCUAAUCCUAACUCGUGAUGAUUAUAGAAAAAUCACCCUUUUCUAAAUUGAUAUUAAGUCCUGAAAUGUGCCCCAAAACGAGCAAGAUUAGUUUAAGGUUUUACGAAUCUACCAUAUUAAUUCUAGACAAAAAGAUAAAGUCAUUUGCAAACUAUAAAUGUGACACUCUAAUCCUACUCCAACCCAUAAGGAAGCCCUCCAAUAAACCAUUAUGCUCCGCUCCCAACAUCAACCUACUUAAAACGUCAACUACAAUGAUGAACAAAAAUAGGAAAGAGGAUCUCCUUGUCUUAAACCUUAAAAUGCCUUAAACCAUCCUUUGGUGUUCCCAUUCACUAGGACCACAAAAUUUUCCAAGGACAAGCAUCCCCUCAUCCAAUACCUUCAUCUUGUACUAAACCCCUUUUGCUCUAGUACAUGGUCCAAAAAACCUCAAUCCACAAGAGCAAAGGGUUUUUCAUAAGCAAUUUUGAAGAUUACCACUUCCUCACCUAAUCGCAUUUUCUCAUCCACCUAUUCAUUGGCCAUCAAAAUUGUGUCCAAAAUUUGUGUCCCCUUAACAAAGGCUCCUUAAGAAAUGCAAAUGGUUUCAUGGAGGAUUCUUCAUAUACACCUUAAUAAGACCUUAGCAAUAAUCUUCUACAAGCUAGUGAUUAAGUUAAUGGGUCUAAAAUAAGAGAUUUUGUUGGUUUGACCGCUUUUGGUACAAAAACAAUGAAGGUAGCAUCGGUGCUUCGUUUUUGUCACAAUGUAAAAUCUAAUUCAAAAGGUUAAAAAAGCAAGUGCUUACUAUUUCAGUGCAACUAAAUUGUUGUUUCUUUUUUAAAAAGAAAAAGAAGAGGAAUUGGAGUUCCAAGAACAAGCCUUCAAAACAAUUAAAAUACUUCAAAUGUAAACAAAUUGAGAAUUUAUGGGAAGAAAAACAUCGUGCACUAAUGGCCUUAACACCAUAGUACUUUGGCAAAUGAUUUUUUUCCUUUUUCUUUAGUUCUUUUUCUCUACAAAGAGGGCCUAUCAAUAUGUGAAAAAUAGCCAUAAUGUCAUAAAUAAGCGUUGAUGUAAACAAAAUUCAAAUUCAAAAUAAGAAUUGAUUUAACCCACUGUUCCCUAUGGUUGAUUCAUGCUGACUGAAACACUUGUAAAUUGCACAAGCUCCCUAACAACAAACACCAAAAAACAUACCAAAGGGGAUGCAAGAUUUCAUUUAAACUGGAUCCGGAAAUACAAGGACAGAAAUAAUUGCAUGUGAUUCCAAAUAACAAGUGUAAAUUAAAUAUGGUGAUACUGGAAGCAAAUGACUCACCUCUUGUGCUUCAACAAAUUCAGACCGUGUGAGCUCCACAGCUACUUUAUUCUCAAGGAACUGCAUUAAAAGCAUUAAAUACACACCAGCCAUCCAGAUAGCAGAAUGUUGUAAAUCCACUUCUGAUUGACAGAAGAUUAGGGAAAGGUAGCAUUAGAAACCUUAGAGAGUCGCAAAUACAAAGUAAUAAGGGCAUCCACUGAAGAAGAGCCUAAAAUAGGAACCUAUAUAAACCUAUCAAAAAAAAUAAAAAAUAGGAACCUCUAUAAAGAAAACUGAGGCUCACCCCUCACACUAUCACUGAUUCCAAGCUUCAUCAGCUCCUCUGCACACAACAAGAUUGUAGCUCAUCAACUAGGCGUCUAUGAACUAAUUUCCAAGUAGCUAUAGGCAACUAUGCCAAAACAUGACACAUGCUACUAAAAUGGAGUGAGAGCUUGUUUUAAUUGCUAAUGUUUCUCAUAUCCCAAUAAAUUCCAAAAGGUACAUAAAUGUCUCAUUUAAAGUGCCUCUCUCUCUUUAAUUUUGUGAAGUCACACCUUUCUAACAUUUGCAAAAUGAUACAACUUCCCCCCUAUCAACAAUUAGUGUGAGAUGUUAUAUUUCUCUACUCUUGAUACCUUUCAUCAUGAAAUUCAGAGACACAAACUGCAAGCUGAUAAGUGCAAGAUAUCAACUUAAAACACAUAAAUGUAUCCACAUUUAUUUGCGUCUGGAAUAUCAUACAUCUUUAGAGUGGUGCAUACUUUAAGGUUAUUCAUGCUUUUCAAUUGAUAGUUCAAGAAAAGUAUAUAAAAAAUUUAGGGGAGGAUAAGAUUCCUUCAAGAAAAAUCCAUAAGAGUAAACAUGGGAAAAGAGAAAGCAAAAUAUACUCUUCAAGAGGUUGAUCAUGGAGCAUGAGAGAUGAAUCCGAUCUAAUCACUACCAUGAUGAAGAUAAUGUGAAAUAGUAAAAAAUUGGAAAGAUUUUGUUCUUUUGAGAGGGACAAUCCGUCCUUUAUUUUGUAUAUGCUUGUGCUAUUCAAUGAAAAGAAUUGUUUGGAUCAGUCAAAGAGGAAAAAAAAAAAACAAAAACAAAUAAAUAAAAUGGUCAAAGGAUAACAGCAACAGAAAGAUUUUAUAUCCCAACUAUGUAGGUUCUGUCAUGAGAAUCUUCGUCUGCCAUUUAACUCUAUCUGUGAUCAUGUCCUCCAUUAAUUUAAGAGGGAUCGAGAGAGAGGGAGAGAUUAAUUGUAUCUUAAUCUAAGAAACAAACCUUGGAUGGUACGAAGUCCAGAUUGGAUCCGCUUCCCACACUCCUUAAAAUUUCCCUUUGGACGCCCAAAUAUGACAACCAUAAGAUCAAUAAGGCCAUAGACAGCACUUUUGGGUAGCCACUCCCCAUCAAUAGGAGGAGGUGCCAGAUCAAGCUUAUCUCCCCAUGCCCGUUUCACAUUUCCAAAAUAUGCUGAUUCCAGAGAUUCUUUGCCACUUGAACCCAAUCUAGUUACACGUCUCAAUUGCUCUUGAACCUGAGCUUGUUUUUCAGAUAGUGCAGAUCUAUCUGUGUAAUGUAAGUCAUGUCGGGACAGACUUUGAUUUAAGGCAUCAAGUUCCUUGGUCAGCUCCUGUAUAUGCUGCAUUUGCUGCAAAUCAGCCUUCAUAGCGGCAUCUAAUUUGUCCACAUGCUGGGCAGCGUUCUUGUAGUCACAUAUCCGGAGUCGAUAGAAAAUAUGAAGCAGUUCAUUGUAAAAGAGUAAACCAAGGGAUUGCUGCCUCUUUAUAUGUGUUAGGAGGUUCAUGUGUAUGGUGAAAAAAACAAGAAUUAGCAUUCAAGGGCAGAUAACUGUAAAAAUAAGGAUAAAAAAUCAAAUUCAAAUAAAAACACGUGAAUGAUCCAUUUUUUGUAGGCAUAAUCAUAACAAUAUAAUUAAUUAAUUGGACAAUGUGGAGUUCAUUUGAUAGAGUCCCUUAUUAAUAUAAUUGAAUAAGACAGGCAAAAGAAAGAAGGUUUUAGGAGGGAAUGGAUCUAUGUGAAACAAACUAAUUCUGCAUCAUAGAGGAGGAAGAACCUACCUGGCUAGCCCCCUUCAAUUGGAAGAAAAUCUGAAAUUGCCAUAGUCAAAGAUAUUUUGGAAAUUUCACAAAUGAGGUUGUUCGGUGUCUUAGUUAGCAAGUGUUUUUUUUUCUUUUUUCUUUUUUUUUGGCUAUAUUUUUGUCAAUUUCUUAUGCUAGUUUGAGAUCACUUGGGACUUGUUUGGGAACAUUAUAAAAACAAUUCUCUAACAUUGUUGUAGAAUAAAAAUCUAUAUGGGAACCUCAAAAUGUACUCAACCUGUUUUCUAUGUUUUCAAAUAUUUUUCAAAAUUACUUUUACCUAUAAUGUUUUAUUUUCAAUCAUUCUCCAUAUUUGUAAAAUUAUUUUUUAAAACAACCCCCUCCCCCCCACCAAAACAAAAAAAGUGAAAAAAAAUUAAAAGAUGUGGUCAGAAAAUACCUUGUUUUCAAAACAAGUUCUCAAAAGACUGUUUUCUAUCAAAAAAAUACCAAAUGUGUUUUCAAGUAUGAAAAACAGUUUUCUGUUUUUAAAAACAACUUCCAAGUAGCCUCUUGUGUUUUCUUGUGACUUUCAAGUGGUAUGUUGGUUGAAGGUAAGACCAUACUCAUGGGCUUUGUUGAGACUCUAAAGUUCUUCUUUAUUCUAUUUUCCCUGCUGCUGCACGCACUUUAUUUAUAACCAACAUUCCUUAACCCUCUAUUUUAUUCCUAAAAACGUUCCAGCCUCAUCUUAAGAGUAUUCUUUCACUCCUAAAAUAUGAAAUGAAAUACAGCUCCACUUUGCUUACUUUGGUGUUUAUGAAUGAACGAAAUAGAUAAAUCUUCAACAGUCUGAAGUAAUCAAAGUUGCAACUAAAAAACAUGAAAAUGGUUUUUGCAAUAGCUAUUAAUGCAUAGGGCUCCCCAUAAGGAGUAAUCUUCAACAGUAUGACUAGUGGAUCUAUAGGGAAUGGGAAAAUGGUUUUUGCAAUUGCUAUUAAUGCAUAGGGCUCCCCAUAAGGAGUAAGAUAGGUAGCUUGCGUUUAACUCCAAACAAGUUUAGAACUAUGGAUUCCUUGGUAUUACUUAAUAUUUCUCUGAAAAAAUUCAUUCUCUACUAAAUUUUGGCCCUAAAUUUUGCCCUUGAGCCAUGGCUCAAGUGGCAAGGGAUUGAGGGUAGAGUCGUGGGGGGUCCCAGGUUCAGGUCCUCAGGAGGACCCAAGGAAAAGAAGUAUACCAAUCCAAAAAAAGGCACUAAAUUUUCACAUGAAAAACUAUUUUAGUACCAAAUAUUAAGUGAAUCAGUGUUCCACUUUUUACUCAACAAAGCGCCAUGCAACUACUUUGACAACUAUUUUUACCAUCCUUCCAUAUGCAGGGCCAUAUGCCAAGACCACUGGUAAGGAUGUGAGUUCCAAGGUUAACAUUCAAACAGGUUUGACAAUACAUUCUACUACUGUCCACCCAAUACAAUCCUUCUUUUACCAAGCUCAGAAUCAAUGGUGUGAGAUGAAAG